CUUAAUCUUCUUAGUAAAUGUACAAUUAAUGAAAAAUAAGUAAAAAUGAAUGAAACUAGUGCGAACUUCUAUCAAGCAAAUUGCUUUAGUGCCUAUCAUCUUAUGAAAAAAUGCUAGUAGGCACAUGUAUGCGCUCCUAACCGAAUGCAUCUUGCCCAAAGAGGUUUCGUGGCGCUUUUGUUGUUUGAUGCUAAGGUGCAUGCCUUAACUAUAGAAAUUUAAUCAGAAUGCAGCGGGGAACCUUGUCUUUUUUCUGUUUACUCUCUGAAAGUGUCAGUUGGUAUUCCAUCGAAACUGAGAUUUUUUUCCCGAAGUGUUUACGCAUUGGUAUGAAUUUUUGUUUUUAGGGAAGUUUGAUAGUUGUAUAUCUGAUCUCAUCUUGAUAGUUAUGACAGUUAACAUUGUUUUAUAUCUAAUUGUCAAUUAUGGUUUCUCCUUUAUAGCAUAAAUCAUAUAAACCUGAAAUUUCUGUAUUUGAAGAUUUUGUUUCUUGAGCUGCCUUCAAGAUGAAGCUCUUAGCUCUCUUGGGCUUAUCACUGAUGUCAGUGUUUUUAAUUCCUAAGUGAGGGAGGCAAAGAGUGAAGGUGCUCGUGGCGGAGGUCGUGGUGGGCGAGGAUAUGGACGUGGACGUGGUGGUAGUGGUAGUGGUGGAUACAGACGUGAUUUUGCAAAUGACGAGAACUUAUUCAGCAAUAAUGCUGUACCUGAAGAUGGAGAGAGUGGAAAACCCUCUGAAAGGCGUGGUUAUGGUGGUCCUCGACCUUACCGUGGUGGUCGCCGUGGUGGUUUCAGUAAUGGGGAAGAUGCAGAUGGGGAGCGACCUCGCAGGUUGUAUGAACGCCGUAGUGGGACAGGGCGCGGGUAAAAAAGGAAGCUUUUGUUUAACAUUAGCUUUGAUAUAUUCUGCAUAUCGGUAUUUUAGCCAAGUCUCAAAGCUGAUGUUUUUGUGUUCUGUUCAUGUCUGCAGAAAUGAGCUCAAACGUGAAGGCUCUGGUCGUGGUAAUUGGGGAACUCAAACUGAUGAACUUGCUCAGUGAGUUAUCUCUAGUAGUUACAACCACAACCUUCAAUUUUAUUGUAAAUCAAUAAAAUAUCACUUUGUUUCACUCUUCUUCCCUUAUUAUAAUCAUAAAAUGAAAAUGAAAUAUUGUAUUUUUAUUGUUAAGGGUGACUGAAGAAGUUGCCAAUGAAGGUGAGAGGAAUUUAGGUGAUGAAAAACCAGCAGGAGAAGAGGAUGCUAGAGAUGCUAACAAGGAGAGUGCUUCAAACGAGCCUGAAGAAAAAGAGCCCGAGGAUAAGGUAAGGUUAUUGACGUCUGCAACUUUUGUUAAUUAUAUAUGAUAGCUGCUAAUUUGGCUAUUACUUUGUUCAACGUUUCAUAUUGCAUUUUUAUAGGAGAUGACUCUUGAGGAGUAUGAGAAGGUGCUGGAAGAGAAGAGGAAGGCUCUGCAGGCUCUCAAGAUCGAGGAAAGAAAAGUAGAUGCCAAGGAGUUUGAAUCUAUGCAACAGCUUUCAAACAAGAAAAGUAAUGAUGAGGUCUUCAUCAAAUUGGUAAGACCCUUCGAUUCACUUUGAGAAAUUCAUCGUUAAUGACUCCAUCUUAUUAUUGGGAAAAUAUGUAGUAUUAAUCACUUGUUCCCUAUAAUUGGCUUCUACAGGGAUCUGAUAAAGAUAAGAGAAAAGAGGCUUAUGACAGAGAAGAGAGAGCAAAAAAGGUACUUUUACUUAUUUUUAUUGAUCUGUGUCAUAUAAUUUGCCUUCCCUUUUCCAGUUUGAACCUCAUUUGUGUGAUUAUUCUGUAUUUAAGGGACCUUAGUUUAUACUGAUGUCAAAGUCCCUUGAUUUAAGAAGUAGUCCUAUCUCUUCCAUGAUUAAAGCUUGCAUAUGUGCUUUCUCCUUUUACCGGUUUGUGCAAGUUUAUCUAUGGCUUGCGUUUAUAUUUUUUGCUGGCACGUACUGAUGAUCCCUAUCCAUGUGGUGGUGGUGGGUAGUCUGUCAGCAUUAAUGAAUUUCUGAAGCCCGCUGAAGGGGAGAGGUACUAUAAUCCAAGUGGACGUGGGCGUGGUCGUGGACGAGGUUCAAGAGGAUUCGGUGGAGGUAAUGCAGCAAGAGAUGUGGCAGCACCAUCCAUUGAAGACCCUGGGCACUUCCCAAUUCUUGGGGGCAAGUGAAGAAGGGAGAUUCCUUUAGAACCCGACAUAUGAUAUCCAUGGGUUUUAUUGGAUUUUUAGGUACUUUUAAAUUUUGGGCUGGGAAUAAGAUAAAUAAUCUGGUUUCCUGUCGCCAAAGGAUCUCUGAAUUUUAUGUAGUAAAAUGUAUGUUUCAGGGUUUUUCUCUCUUUUUGUUUUUUGGGGGUAUUGCCCCCACUAUUGUUAUGCUUUGAUCGUACUGCUCACUGCUCACUGCUCACUGCUCACUGCUCAGUUUUCUUUUGGAAUAGAUGGAACUAUUUUGCUACUUGUUUUCGAGCACUUUAGCAGUGUUUGCACCUGUUGCUCCCCAGAAUCUAAAGAUGAAUUAAUAGCGAUGCAGGGGAAGUAAAGCCUAAGAUUCUCUACCGUAGGGGUGAGCAAAAUUCGAUUCGACUCGAAAAAAUCGAAAAAAAUUCGAAUUUCGAGUUAAACGAAUCGAGUUAUCCGAAUCAACUCGAAUUUUUUUUCAAAUUUCGAGUUCGAAUCGAGUUGAGUUUUUGAAUUCGAAUAACUCAAAUGAUUCGAAUAUCAAACUAUAAUAUUUUACAUUUUUAUCUUAAACUCUUAAAUUUUUUUACUUUUCUCUCAAAAUUUUUACUCCUUCCAACUUACUCCCAAAUCUUUUACUCCUCUUCCCUCCCAACCUCUAAAUUUAUUCAAAAUUUAUUUCCCACCAAAAUUUUACUCUCCUAUUUAUUUUUUCUUAAAAUUUUACUCUGAAAAACCUUCAAAAUCUUUUAUUUUCCCUCAAAAUUUAUACUUUCUCGUACUUUUUUCCUAAAACUUUUAUUCUUUUCCCAUUCCACCUCUCAUCUACCCCAAACCUUUCCCUCUUCAAUUUUUUUAAAAAUAUUUUCCCUCCAAAAUUUUGCUCCCCUAUUUAUUUUCCCUUAAAUUUUUAUUACUCAAAACUUUUUAUUUUUUCCUUAAACUUUUACUCCUCUCCAUUUACUCUUAAAUAAAAAUCAAAAUUAUCAAAAAAAUCACUAAAUAUAAAUAGUAAUAAUUUUAUUUAUAUCUACUAUUUAUAUUAUUAAAUUAAAUUAAAUUUUACAUUUUAUAUUAUUUAUAUUAUUGAAUUGUUUAGUCAUAUUGAAUAUUUAUAUUAAAAUUGAAUUCUUAAUUAUGCCAUAAAAUAUUCGUGUUAAAAUUUUAUAUUAGUAUCAAUUUCACAUUUUAUUUUUAAAAUAACUUUUAUUAAAAAGUCAUAUUUUUACAUUUAAUAUAUUUUUUAAUUCCAAAAUACAUAGUGACAAGAAUUUGAAGAUAAUUGAAACAACUAAGCAAGCAAAGAAGCUAACCAGUAUAUAAAAAAUUAAUAUAUAAAUUAUAAGGUGAUGAAAGUUAAUAAAAAUUUUGAUUAAGGUGGACAAAUUUUAUUACGAUAGGUUAUAGUGGUUAUAAGGACUCAAAAUUAUUUUUUAAAAUUUAACUCGAACAAAUAUAUUCGAUUCGAUUCGAUUCGAAUUCCAUCUCACUCGACUCGAUUCGAGAAAACUUCAAAUAAAGUUAAGAUGAUAAAAUGAGAUUCGAAAACUUGAUUAACUUGAAAAUUUUCGAUUCAAUUCGAUUCGAUCGAAUGCUCACCUCUACUCUACCGUACUUCUGCCAUGGCUGCAUUGCAUUGUCUCGACUCGUCUUCCAUGAGAUGAGAUGAAGCCAAAUGCUUUUAGAUCUUAAUCGUCAAUGCAUUUGAACAUCUGAUUACUGUUUUCAAAUCAUAUUGUUUUACAUAAUCUUUAAAUCAUAUUGUGUAAAAGCAUAGACGCAAGCAGCGACAUCAGCAACAACAUCGAAGCUUAGAAAGUUGGAUCAGAUUAUUGUCGGAUUUGCGUCAUGAAUCCGCCUUGUUUGCUAUUGUAAGUUGUACGUUUCAGGGAAGGGUUGCGUGGUUUAGAUAACAUAUGAAUCAAAUUUUUAUUGUUGGCUUACCUACUCGAAUUUGAAGUUAAAUAUUUAAAAUAUGUGAAUCAAUUUUUAAUUAUAUCUAUUUAUUACACAGACAGUUUGGAUGUGAUGAGUAAUAAAAUAUUUCUUUUAAAUUUUAUUAUAUUAUUCGUUUUUUUAAUACGUUACUUGUCGAUUAUUCAAGUAGUAUGUACAUGUAUGUUUAAACUUUGAUCUACAUAUUUUAAAUACGUUUUAUAUCAAAUUUGACUUAGAAUUUAAUGCUUAAUCUGACAAUUAAGUUAAUAGAAAGAUUUUAUUAAUACGAUACUAGUAUUUUGACUACUAAAUUAAAAAUAUGAUGAGAGUUAAAUAUUUAACAAAAGCAAUAGAAAAUCAUGGAAUAAAAUAAGAAUAUGUAUUAAUUAUAACCAUAAAGAAUAUUGACAUUAUAGCCAAUAACCUUGUCUAAAUGGGAAAGUCAAAUCUCCUAAACAAAAUUUAAAUAACAGAUCACCUACGAAACUAAAACAAUCCCUGCAAUAUUUGUUGAUACAAAUAAUUAACAAAGAGGAGAUGGAGGGGAGUGUCAAUUCACCUGACAAGAGAAGGGGAAUGGGAGAAAGUUUGGUUGAUGUUUAGGGUUUUUGUCUACGAAAGGAGAGAUUAUUGGUCUCUCGUGCACUUGGAUAUAUAUAGGGGCUCACCCAUUGUAUUGUUGUGCCACGUAGCCGACAACAUUAGGGUCUGUAUGGUUAUGUGGUCCUGCUCAGACAUACAGUGUACUAUGAGGUCCUACUCAAACAUUCUUAUCCUUGACAUUUUACGAGGUUGUUACAUCUCAAUAGUCUCCACGAAGGGUAUACAACGAGUGAUCCCCACGAAGGGUGCGUAGUGGGUUGUUUCUAAGUUGGUUUGGACAGAAAAUCUGCAGACCAUCCUAAGCGAAGGGUCGUUACGAACAGUCCCUAGCGGAGGGUUGUCAACAGGUUGUUCCGUACCUUGCCAUGUGUCAUGCUCUUGUAAGGGUAUAAUAAUUGCCUCCUAGGCAAGAGGUAGUUUACAAAGUGGCCUGCCUUGAGACUAUUUAGUCAAUAGCUAUAACGGAGAGUUACCAAAGUAAGCCAUGUAAUGGAAGGGGUGGAAGAUGAAAAGUUGUGAUGCUUACGCGUAUUGAGAACGCUUUAGGAAAAAGGGGGUGCACUGAAUAUUCUAGAAAUUGUGCAUUAAUGGUGGAGCAUUGCAACUAUUCUUUGGGAAAUGACGCCAAUGAUGGGGUAGACUUUGUGUCCUUUUGUGGGACACAGUCUAGUUGGGUUGCUCCGUGAAUUAUUAGGUCUGCUAGAAUUGAAAUGCACCAUUUUGAGAAGUCCCUUUAAAAGAGGCUUAAGGGUUAUUUGCUUCAUCUUCAAAAUUUCCUAAGUGUUUAAGCCUUCAAGUUUUCCGGUUUUAUUUUUCGUUAUUUAAAUUUUCUAAGUGUUUACUCUUCAUUUUCUCUAUUAUUCUCAUCUUCUUUCACUUUCAUUUUUUCACCACAUUUGCUUGCUCAGAGUUAGGGCGUAUGUUGAGGGUAAGGCUCAAUUUUUGAAUCUUUCCUUUUCUUUUUGUUUUGAAUUAGCACCGAUAGCCAAAGGAAAUAAAGGAGAGGAGAUUGGGCCUUAAGAGGCAGUGGCUAAGAAGGUGAAAAAAAUUCCUAGGUUAGAGAGAGAUGUGGUGGUGGUUGGCACUUUUGAGUGCACCAACAGGACAAAAGAGAUGACUCGAUUACUCCGAUGCUGAGGGCUGGAGCCGAAGCACUAUCGAUAUGAAUUCAAUAAUCUAAGGGGUGAGUUUUCUCUAAGUGCAAUGAGUAGGCCUAACCAUAGGGGAAAGAUGCAUGGGUUUUACUUGUCGCUAUAUGUGUUAGAGGCAAGGUUUCAUCUUCCACUUCACCACUUUGUAUGUGAGAUUCUUAAUUAUUAUAGGAUAGUUUUGGGACAAUUAGCAGGGUUUUCAUGGUGGAUAAUAAUUGGGUUUUUGUUGUUGUGCUGUGAGUGUGGGAGGGGGGAGAGGUCCCCCACUAGUUGAACCAAACAACUCACCCCAGGUUGUGUACCUCACAAAGCAUCAAAGGCCCUCUGGUAGAAAAUUUGCUCUAUGGGUGGGCCAGCAACUUGAGCCUAGAUAGACAGACACAAGUACAUUGUAGUGACCCGAAAGUCAGUGGUGUUGGAAAACGCGAUUUCGAGAUCUCAUUUCUGUAAAUUGAGACCGUAAAUAUUUACGGAUGUAUAUUGUAGAUUAAUUGAAUUUUGGAUAGACAAUUUUGUUAAAUUAGAGUUUAAUUAAGGUAUAGAGACUAAAUCAUAAAAUUGGUAAAAAGUUUUAUCACUAAAGAAUUUAAUAAUUAGAAAUAAGGAUAGGGACUAUUAUGGUAAUUAUACCGUCUAAUUAUUAUUGUGGCUAAUUUUUAACUAAGGUAUGCAUUUAUAUUAUAAAAAUUUUAGUUUAAUUAAAAAUUACAAAUAAAACAUAAAUUAAAAAGGAAUGAAAUAUAAAUAGUGGAGAAACAAAAUAUUUCCUAUUCAUUUUCCAUUCAUGCAGCCCAGAAACAAGAAAAAGAAAGAAGAAGUUUGGCCUUAGGAUUCCAUUUUUAAUGCUUCAAAUUGGUAUGUGCAAUUUAAUCAUUUUCUUGUAAAUUUUAUGUUUUUGGAGUCCCAAGAGCUUAAUCUAGAUGAAUUGUAUGUUAUUUUUUAGAAUUUUUAAAGUUUUAGAAUGAUGCCAUUGAUGAAUCUUUGAAGUUUUAGAUACUAAAUUGAUAGAUUUAAAGCUUAGAAGUGAAAAGGGACUAAAUUGUGAAGUUAAUUUAUAGUUUUGUAUAAUAGAGACUAAAAUGAAAAAAUUUUAAAAUUUAUGGUAGAAAUUAGAAACAGGAAGUCCUAAUUGGACUAUAGUGAAAAUGAAUUGAAAAUAUGAGUUCUAGAUUGAAAGUUAUGUUAGUCUUAGUUUUAGGGACUAAAUUUAAUAAAAUGUAAAAGUUAUAUAAAUUUUCAAUUUAGUGUGAAUUUGAUUGUGUAUUGAUGAAUUAUUAUUGUGUUUAUAUUAAUCCGUAGCUAACGUCGACCUGGAUUCCUAAAAAAAGAAAGGAAAAGAUAAAAUUAUCGACGAAUAGCUUAGAGUUUUCAAUUUGUGUUUCUAUAAUCUGAAUUGUCUCAAUUGUUGCAUGUAUGAACUUCGUUGUAUGGUAAGAUCAUAAGGUGAGUUACAAUUGAUAAAAUGGGUUGAAAUGAUUCGAUACGAAUUGGUUGUCUAUGUUAAGGACUGAAUUGAAUAGAUUUAAAAAUAUUAUAUAUUGUUUUAAAUGUGAAAUUGUAUCAAUUUUGUGAUGAUUUAUGUUGAUAUAUAUAAGAAUUGUUGAUUGGUUGAUUGAGAUUAUGAAAUGGAAAUUGGGAAUCGAUUAUAAAUGAAUGUGAGAAACUUGUUACCCUAUUGACUGUUCGAGCAGGGUUGGGUAUAAUUGGCAUGCCAUAGGAUAGGAAGAGUUUAGGGUUUUUACGACUACGAGUUGAGGUGAGAUGGGCACACCUAAUUUUCGGUUAUACCAACCAACGCUGGGCGCAACUUACCAUUUCAGAUUUAUCCGAUUGGCACUAGGUGUUAAAUUGGUGUGAUUGGUUGAAUUUGUGUAUCCGUUCGAAUCCGAGUCAGUUUAAUAGGGGUUAAAAGUGGAAAUAAAAAUAAUGAAUUAUGAAAUAAAUUGAUAAAAAGAUCGAUGAUAUUCAUUUUUAUUGAAAGCUUGGAAUUGAGAUAGACAUGUGGCAAUAUAUUUUGUUGAGACGUUAACUAUGUUAUAAAAUGCAUUCGAUAUUAUAAUGGUAGUAGAUAUGAUGAAAAUGCAUUGUAUAAUAUUUGGUUGGUAUAUACACGCUAUGAUCUUUGAACCAUAACUUUAUACGUUUUCUAUUCCGUUUUAUUAUUCGAAUUAUGGAAAUACCAUUGAGUUCAUACUCAACGUACGAUAUUGUUUAUUCAUGCGCAAGUUAGGUGUUAGAUCAUAUACGUUUGUUGAUAUCAACAUCCAUUCGUGAUCUCGGACUUAUCAUGUUGGUGAUACUUUAGUUAGUUUGUUGGCAUGUACUUAAGGGGUCUUAUACCUAUAUUAUGCUAAUUGGAUAAAUGUUGACAUUUUGGCAUAGUUGGUGCAUAUGUAAAUGUUUACUAUUAAUGGUAUGGAUCAUGUGUUUAUAAAUGUGUUGGAUGCGCUUAAAGAUUAAAAGGUACAAUGCAAGCUAGUAAAUAAACGAGUUAUAUUGAAUGAUGAUUAAUAGUGAAAUGGUUAAGUAAAUAGCAUGUUAACGUUAAUAUGAAUUGGUAAGAAAAAUGUUGGUUAUGUUAAACAUGAAAUGGUCAUUUGUUGAUAGAUGAACAUGUAUUAUGGAUGAUUAAGUUGAAUUUGGUAAUGUUUUUUAAUGUGAAUUGAUAUGUUUUAGGUGCCAUUUGAGGCAUAUUGGUAUUUUGAUUGUAUGUGCUAUGAAUGUGUCAAAUUGGUAUGUUUUCUAUUGAAUUUAUGCAGGUUUUGAGUAGGAAUUAUUGUGCAUUUGAACAUAGGUUAUGCUUUGAAUAUGGUUAAACAUGAACUAGGCCCUAGAUGACAUAUUUUGUGCCACACAGUUUGGCCACACAAUCGUGUGUCACACAAGGGUUAGUGACACGACUGUGUGCCACUAAAAUAUAGGAUGUAUAAGAAGCACACGGUUCCCAAUUGAUACAGGGGCUGGCCAUACGCCCAUAUGACUACUGUAGUUAUGGUCAUUUAGUUUUCACACAGUUUCAAUUUGUUACACAGCCCAGCCACAUGGCCAUGUGACUUUUGUUGAAUAUUUGCAUUUUGACCCACACGACCAUAGUGAGUUACACGGUUUGGAUACAUGGUCGUGUGACUCCAAUUCUACACGGUUAUAGGUUGUUACACGGUUGUGUGACCCCUAUUUUGCACAAUUGCCCUUCUUUUUUGUAAAAGUUUCAAAAUGAUUAUUGUUUGAUAUCGGGUCAAUUUAAGAGCUUUUGUAAGCUCAAUUUAAACCAAAUUUUGUUUGCAAAGUAUGAUUUAUGUGAAUGUUUGUAUUUAUUUAAUGUAUAAUUGAUUUUUUUAUGAAACACGUGUAACUAUUUUGUUAAUUGUUGUAGCAUCUUGCCACUCGAGUCUGACGACCGAACCGGGUGAGGGGUGUUACAUACAUACUUGUGGAAUUAAAUUUUGGGGAUAGCUUUGAUUUCCUAAUUGAGUGGCCCAUGCAUUCAAAUGAUUUAUGUAACUUUAAGCCUUCAUUAGAAACUUAUGAAGGAGGCUGAAAAGAAGUUUAAUGACUUGAGAAUGGAGGGUUUCAUUGUGCUACCUUAUGAUAUAACCAUUCAUAGAAUUUGAAACACUGUCUUAGUUGAGUAAUUCCAUUUAGCUUCCAUAAUAUUGACUUCUAGUGAAGGUUCACCAAUAACGGUAUGAGGGCGCCCUAUACCCAUGCCUAGCCACACAACAGUGAAUAUGUGGUGUAUGGGAUUUUGUUUGGCCUAGAGGAGAAGGCGUAGUUGUAUAUAGUACAUUUUGGACUAUGUCUUGAUCGUAAGUGAGGGGCCUCUAAAGGCGUAACACAUGUAACAUUAUUAGACCCUUCUAAGGUUGAAGAAUGACAAUAUAAUAUAGGAAAUAGGGUCUAAAAGUUGUCUAGGGGUCUGGGGCUAAUGCACACACUACCGCGAAGCAUAUUAAUGCUAGCAUUAUUGCUGGUGCAAGAACCAGUUGAUCAUCCGUGGCACGUUCUUACUCUUAGGCUUUAGGUGAGGAAAUAACUUCUGCAACUUCCACUCUUGUGAUUGAAAUUUCCUCAGAUGGGGAGGAAGCUUCUUUCAAUAUCCCUACAUUGGGAAUGGCUAUAUAUGUGCAUACCCUUUGGGAAUUCAUUAACCAGUAGAAGGAGUGGGAAAAUAUGUGCUAGAGGGCUCAUAUAAGAGGGCUGAGAAUUUUAGUUGUACCUUCUCCACAACUAUUUUAUUUUUAUAACUUGUGAAUUUGAGUUUUUGCUUUAGGUCUGAUUGUUUGUCUUGCUUGUGUAGCUACUUCAACAGUCACAAUCGAAGGGAUGUAUGCUAAUUUUAUAGACUGUUAUUCCUGUCCCCAAUAGAAAGAGAGCUAACAACCCUUCAAGUAAUCAAUUAAAAAGGGGUAGGACCAAAACUACAAUGGUUCGUUCCUGCGAGGUGGUGAUCAAUAAGCCAUAUCCUACUACAACUAAUCCCAACACACUCAUUGUGACGAGCCAAGGUGUAUUUGGGAUCCUUUUUAGUGAUUAUGUGUUGGGAUUUAGUGCUCUUAGUGUAGUUAUUUCAUCAUAGAUAUAUUUGUAAUUUUUCGAAUAGAUUGGUUUAGAUAAAAUUCCAUCAUUCACAUUUUUAUUUUUUGUAUUUGUCCUCAAUGGUUUUUACAUGCAAAACAAAAUGUAUAAGCAUAUAUUGGCUCACUGAUUACCUUACGUUUGACUAAUAUUAACGUACAUUAUGUGGUUGGAUCAUAAUGCAAGAAGACAACUUAUAUUAGUAGGUAAUCUAAAUGGUUUGUAGAUUGAGUAAAUCAAUUCAAGACUACUAUGUUGUUUAUUAAGUCUAAUUGGGGGAUACCUUGUCUUACGAUUGGAAUGGAUAACUCUCAAAAGAUAGAGACAUAAAUGUAACUGACUAGACUGACAGUAAAUCGGAUUGGACCCAAGUAGAGUAGAUCCUAGAUUUGUUUAUGGAUUUAUUCACUUAUGACAUUCAUAGUGUGACUUACCUCAAUCCCAAGCAAGUGAUACAUUGUGUGUGCAUGACUCGUGUACUUUGAUGUAUUGUUAACUUGUGUUCAAUUAGUAAUAGAUUCGAAAGUUGGUACGUUGGAUAUGCAGCUUUUGCAUAACAUAGCUUCACGUACAAUAGUAGAAUUCAUAACCCAAUAAAGAGUAAAUGAUAUCCUCUCAUUGGCAUUACAUAAUAGGUGGGAAACGAGUCAUUUGUCUUAAGAUGAAUUAUUUAAUUACUAUUUGUUAGUAAUUUAUUUUUCAUGAAGUAAGAUGUAAUGAUUAUCAGGAAAUAAAAUAGGAUUAUAUUGAGAGAACAAAUUUAUCCCAAAGAGAUUAAAGAUAUCCUAUGAGGGUACCACAUAUGGCAAGGUCAUUGGACGAACAUUUAAUAAAGCAACUUUUGUAAUGGUAUAUAAUACGGAGAGCUCAAUCAUGGGACUUUAGUGGAAUGACUUCAUGAUUAAAUAAUGUUGUAAUUAAUAGACAAAGAUUUGGAACUUAAUUAAAAAUUAUUUGAAUCCUAAUUAUAUAUGUCUAGUCGGUUCCUCCGUUAGCUAGAUAUAACAUUGAUGGUUUACAUUAAUUGAUGAAAUGGAAACAUGUGAAACAAUGGACUAGAGAAAUAGAUCGCAUGUAUCAUUAUCUGCAGUGAAUACGUCUUCUUGCAAUAAACAAGAAGUGACUCAAAAAUUAAUUUAUAUAUUUGAAUUAUUUAUUUAAUUAUUCUAAAAUUAAAUAAUUAAAGUUCAAAGAAGAAAUUAAAUUAAUUCAAUCAACAUAGUUUCUUAAGAACAAGAUUAAUUAAAUUAAUUUACUAAAAUUUUAAAAAGGUAAAGUGGUUAUGACUUUCAUUGAAUUAACUUUGGGUUGAGAAAAUAAUUUAAUAAGUAUAAUUAAUUAGAUUAAAUGAAUAAGUAAUAUUUUUGACAUAAGAAAAUAUUUAUUGGUUUUGAAAUAUUUCAAUAAUUAUCCCACAACUUCCUUCAUAUCUAAGUAAAAUAAUCACCUUGGUCUCCAAGUAAAAAGAUAAGGACAAGUAUAAAGAUAAGGAUAGAAUAAAGCAUAGCUUGACAAUAAUUUGCGAAUAGUGUAACAAUCAUGAAGAUCAAAGUAAAAAAAUGCCAAUUUUAUAAUGUAGUUGAACUAUCUUGAAGACAUAUCCAAACUGUUGUUCAAAGGUUUGUCCAAACAACUGUUCAAACAAGGACAAACCAUGGUGAUAAAACAUGUAAUUCGAGAAACUAUUCAAACAUGAGAAGAUACUUCAAAUACAAGACAACUAAGAUCCCAACAUUUUUCAUCUUUCUAUUCUUUCACCAUUCAAUUUUCUAUCUUUUUUAUUUCCUUUGUUCUCUACCAAGUAAAACUAUUUGUCAUUACAAAGGAAACACAUGCCCUUGGAUUCUAUUUUGCCGCUGGGCAUCCCAUGAAUAAGUUGAAUUUGGGUGCGUUGUUGGCUAAAAGGAUGGUGGAUUGGUGCUUGUGGCUGUUGGUAGGUUACAGUAGUUUAGCCUCCACAUGAUAGAGGAAUUCAAGUAAUAUUGUUGGUGUUUGACCUUGAGGAAGUGGACCAACAGGGCCCUUGUGUCAUAUAAUUGGAGCUUAAUUUAGGCAUGAUACACCAUGGGAGGCUUAUGUACCCUUACGUUAUGUAAUUAUCAACCAUGGCAUAAAGAAUUAUGGUCUAAUUAAUUCUGCUAGUCAAAUACUUUCUGGAAAUUAUAACUCUUUGCAAUUACAAAAAGUAUAAUUCAAUUAUUUUGCUUUCAAAAUCCAAUCACUGAAAAGUAAAAUCUUUCCAACGCUUUUUCUUUGUUCACAAAAUUUGAACUCAAGAUAUUAAUUUAUUCAACCCAAUAUUGGUCAUUUUAAAGUAUUUUGUUUAAAAAGUCUUUGUACUCUUUUAAAAUUUAAAAUUAAUUAUGUAUUUUAUUUUUGAGAUAUUAAAUCCCAUUACUUUUUUUAUUUAAAAAUUAUGGUCUCUCCAUUUAACUAUUACUGAUGUGAUAAUUAGAAAAUAAAUAUAAUAUUUUUUUAACUCUCAAUAUUUAUAAUUUUUUUAUUAAUUUAAUCAUUGCUCUUUAAAAGUUAAUACUUUUUUAUUAUAAUUUAUAUAAUCUUCUUCCUUUCUACGUAAGUAUCUGUUACACUGCAACUCUUUUUACUGCCAUUUUCCCGCAUAUCUUCCUCUCAUAUUACUUUUCUUUUCAUAAAAAAUAAUAUUAUAUAAUUUUCAUUGUACAAUUAAAACCUUAAAUUGUAAAUAUUAAGGGCUAAAAAAGUUAUUCUAUCUAUUUUAUAAUCGUCAUAUCAACAAAAUUAAUGAAAAAUGGACAAAGGGAUCAAAAUUUUUAAAUAAAAAAGUUGUUGAGUGUUUUUCCGUUCUGUCAUAUUGAAGGGGACAAUCAAAUAUUUAUGCACAUGAUUAUUAUUCAUGGAAUUGAUAUUCUUGGUAAGCUCUAUACAUGCUGGAUACGUUUAUUGUUCUGGUUUGCUUGCUAGACUUCGUAGCCCCCACAUGCGAACUCCUUGCACAUGUGAACUAGGAGAGCGAACUACCCUUGCUAGCCCCUCUGCCUUACCCCCACUACAAGACCUGCAUGCAUCCAAUUGGUUGGGCCUAACCGGGUCACAGGUAGGUGAUCCAGAUUUUAUCUGGGUUUCGGGUUGGUGAUCACAAAUACGUAACAAUCUAGUCCCCCUAUUGAAUUUAAAGAGGGUUAUAAAGUGGCACUCCUUAGAGCCAUCACUUCGCAUUUAUACAACUUGUUGAAUAAGCGACCACUAAAGCAUGACGUUAGUCUCACCACAUGUACGGAGGGUUAUAAAGUGAUGUUCCUUAAAGCUAUCACUUCACAUUUAGACAGUUUGUUGAAUACGCUGCGACCACUGAAGCAUGGCAUUAGCCUAGCCACAUGUGCGGGUGGAUCAUGUCUAUCUGCAUCUGGUCGUUGGUGCUCAUCGGUUAUUUGAACCGUCAAAACACGGGAAAGAGAAACUCUUUAAAAAUAGGGUUUCAAAAGCCUUAAAACUCACAAACUUAACACUUUCUGCAACCAGAGUUGAUCGAGGCUUUUCUUUAAAGUAAAUCUUGUUAACUUCUUCGUUUUAUAUUUUAACUUUCUUCUUCUUCUUCUUUUUUAUUGAAACUAUGUCAAGAAUGAGAGGGACUGGUGGUCGAAUAACUCCCAGCUAUCCACCAUGAGAGCGUGCAACAAAAGUCUCUGUAGAAGCCAACUUUUGCAUCUGCACUGCAAAAGAAGAAGAGAUGACUCAGGCUUUAGCCAUGCGAGGGAUUAAAAUCCCCAACUUCACUUACGACUUCCCCAUUCUUAAGGGGCCACAUAGGUUGAGUGACACUAGUGAUGGUAACUUACUGCUCCCCUCCACGUUCUAAAAGCUGGAUUCUAUUUGCCCUUGAACCCGUUCUUCUGUCAUCUUCUCCAAUAGUACAGGAUCGCUCUUGGUCAGCUUUCUGGGUUUUCUUGGUGGAUCGCAGUGGCUUACUUCAUCGACUGCUACCGAUGCAAUGAAGUGUCACAGUUGCGGUUUUUCAACGUUUAUGUUUGUUGAAAGCCCAGAACUAAGGGAAUUUACCGGGCUUCUACUAUUUCUCUCCUCACGAAUAGGUUAAGACUAUAAUCGCCAACUGAUGUUUUAAUCUUCGACUGAAUCGAGGGAAAUGCAUUAGGGUGGAAUGUAGGCUCAGCGAUUGGUUUGGUUUGCCAACAGAGUGGUCGCACCAAACAGGGACGUGUCUAUUUAAGUGAAGCAUUACAACAAAAAAUGGUUCAGCCCAACUUGAAAGGCUUCACACUAGCAAUCCUCUGGUUGUAGAGGAUGUUAUAAGUGCAAUGAAUGUGUUUCGGUAUUGUUUGAAAGGCUUUAACCCCAAUGGAUGGAAGCGGGGUGACAGUAGGGAAGUGGCCAAAGCUGCUGGUGCGUGACCUAAAAGACAGACAUGGAUUUAUAGGGCUAGAGAUGACCUGGGUCUGAUAUUAACAAGAUAUAACGAGGAGCCUAGGAACUUCUUUUACAGUUUCUGCAGGAUGAAACUUCACCCUUGGAUCUCAGCGGUCUCAUCGCACAAAGAAAGUUAUGCAAAUAUUAAUUUGAUAAUUGCUUCCGCUGACCUUGGAAUUAUUAUUGGUGCAGGCACAGCUCGCGGUUUUGGAAGCGAUUUAGAGGAAACUACUAGUCUGUCUCGUGAAAUUAACAAAGUCAUGGACCUGCGAGCUUCUCUGAAGGACAUGUACAAGAAGCGCAGAACCGAUGUGGGGCCUAUGAAUGUGGUUAUCAGCAGUAAAGAGGAGGCAAAUAGUGGAAGACUAGAGUAUUACCGUAAAAGGAAAGUAAAUCAUACUAGGCCUUCUUCUAUGAUAACCGCUACUCUUAUUUCUCCCUCAGUAAGCUCGCCAUCAAUAGCCCAUGCAAGUUUUUUUAUUGCUGCUCAUGGCAUCUCUCCUCUUUCUACUCCUCUUUGUAUUCCUUCUUUUUUACCUCUUGUUGAGGAAACCUUAUCUGGAGAGGAUGGUGAGCUAUUCCCGUGGUGUGGACAUAUGAGUAUGUGAGAGUACCCCUAUGACCCCAACAAAGUGGUGGAGAAGUGGAAGGCUUUUUUACCAGAAACUACAAAAAGGAAAAUGUACAUCGCUGAGUCAUCGAGUGGUGCAAAGAAUCCUCUACUGUCAAAGCUUACCUCAUCCUUGCAAGUUCUGCUGGCUGAGGCUACUAUGGUUAACUUAAGCCUUAAUGAAAACGUUGGUAAAGCUGAGGCCAGUCAAAGGGAGCUCGAGGAAACUAAAGGGGAUUUGGAGAGAACUCACAAGUUAUACCUCAAGAUUAGGAAGGAGAAUAAAGAUCUUUAUAGAUAAAUUAUAGAGAUCGUUGGUCGUCUGGAAGCUGCUAAGGUCAAAAUUGAUGAGUUAUUUGAGAAGGUCACAGUUGAAAAAAAAAAGAAAAGAGGCCGUAGACUGAUUUGAAGAAAAUGACUAAAGAGCAUAAGGUAACUGUGAAUCGAAUUGUUCAAGAAUAGGAAGCUGCUAUGGCAAGGUCAGAGUAGAAACAAACUGAGGCCUUAGAAAAAUUUAAAGGGAAGACUCUGAAGAACUUGAGCAACCUUGAUUAAUAGCUCAAGUCGAAUGAACUUAUGCAUGCCCAAGUUGUAGGUGGCCUUUUUGAUGCUCGCGGGGUUGACCUCGAUGCUCUCUACGAUGUGGAUAUGAACCAACUGAGUGUCAAUGUUCGCUACCCUUCCGAAGCUUCCUGGGAUGAGUUCACAUCCAAAAUAAAAAACUCAAAAGGCUUUUACCAGGAUGAAGACCUAGCCGAAACCAACACUACUCCUGUUGACAACAAUGAAGCCAAUGUUGCUCCUACUAAUGGUAAUGACCACAUUGAAGUUGCUGGAAGAGAAGGAGAAAAUGAGAUCCUCAGCGACCAUGAAUGGGCUGAUAAUAUGCUUUAAUUGUAACUUUGUAUUAGUUUUCUCAUCUUGAAAUGAAAAUUUAAACUUUGAAAAUUUUCAAAUUUGCUUGUUACUAUUAUGACAUCAUAUCCUUUUGUGGACUUAUUUUAUCUUUUCGCAUAACACUACUGCAUGUACCAAAAAUUUGAACUUAAACAAAUUUUUAAAGAUAUUCUCAGAAACUUUUAAUUGACUUAGUGUAAUUCAAUGGUUCUGUUUUAAGUGACUUAUCAUCAAUUUUGACUUGAGUGUUCUUAAACAUCUGUGUUGUGAAUUUAAGUAAGCAAACUCGAAGGAAAUUAAGUUACGAUCUCAAAUCAAUUAAGCCUUAAGUACCACACAAGAAGGUAGCUUUGCUAGCUGUGUUGGAUUUGCGAGCUUAACUAUGCGAGCUCUUAUAAUGUCAACUGGGAGCAUAGGUCUGCGAGCUGCUUUAGAAGUUGUGAUUUUAAAUCGUCAAACCUUUAAGACAUCAACUGGGAGCGUAUGACCGCUAGCUGCUUUAGAGUUUGCGAUAUUAAACCGUUAAACCUUUAUGACAUCAACUAGGAACGUAGGUUCGCUAGUUGCUUUGGAGGUUAUGAUCUUAAACCGUCAAACCUCUAUGACAUCAACUGGGAGCGUAGGUCUGCUAGUUGUAUUGGAGCUGCGAGCUUAACUCUUCGAGCUUUUAUAAUGCCAGCUGGGAGCGUGGGUCCGCUAGCUACUUUGGAGGUUACGACCUUAAACCGUCAAACCUUUAUGACAUCAGUUGGAGCGUAGGUCCGCUAGCUGUGCUGGAGCUGCAAGCUUAACUGUUGCAGUAUGAUGCGAAGUUCGUAGGGCCCAAUAAGAUUCCUGGUAGUUCAUUUAACCACACACCCUUAGCCUCAACAACCUUCUUUUUUAAGGUUGUUAGAAUCUUCUUAUUCAUUGCUUUAGUUUGCCCAUUUGUUUGUGGUGUUUUAAUAAAACUCUAAGCCAAAGCAAUCUGAAGAUCUACACAAAAAAUUUUGAACUUUUCCUGAAACUGUGUGUCAUUGUCUGUGAUAAUCAGGUGAGGUACACCAAACCAUCACACAAUUGAUUUCCAAAGAAAAGACUCCAUUUGUUUCUCUAUGAUGGUCGCCAAAGGUUUAGCUUCAAUCCACUUGGUGAAAUGGUCAACAACCACCACUAUGAAUUUUUCUGUACUAUAGCCAUCAGGAAUGAAUUGAGAAUAUCAAUUCCCCAAGUCACAAAUGGUCAAGGGCUCGACAUGACUAGAAGAGGUUUUACUGAUUGUCGAUGCACCUGAACAUAUCUUUGGCAGGAGUCGCAUGUGUGAACCAAAUGAUGUGUAUCCUUUUGAACCAUAGGCUAGUAAUACCCUUGCCUGAAAAUUUUUUGGGUAGGUAGUCUUCCACCCAAAUGGUCACCACAAAUGCCUUCAUGAAUUUCUUACAUUACGUACUCAACCUCAAACGAUGAUAAACAUCGCAGUAGCGGAUGCAAAAACCCAUUUCUAUAUAGUACACCCAUUAAAAGAGUAUACAUAACAAUUGUAAGUCAAAACUAAUUAUUUUAACUCACUAUGUAAUUGAGUAAUUUAAAAAUUAUCUACACAGUACUCAAAUGUCUAAUUUAUAGAUUAAAAUUUUUCGGGAGUAUGUAACUUGUGACAAUGACAUACCUCGCAGCUUUAUGUUGUAACCUUGUGAGCUCUUUCUUGUCCAGAUUAUCAUACACUCUUUGUAAUGUGCGAACUAAGUGAGUAAUCAAUGUCUCUUCCUGAUCUAUAGUCAAAACUUGUUGCAUGUCGUGGCUCGGGGUAUCAUUGUACUCCAAUAAAAUUUUUCCUCUUUGUUCAAUGACAAUAGAUGAUGCAAAUUUAGAUAAAGUAUUUGUACGUUUGUUAUCACUCCUUAUGAACUGCUUCAUCUAAACUUUGUAAAAUCCUGCGAGCAACUGAAUUGCAACUGAAUGAUAUCUCUUUAACACUACUUCCUUAACCUCGUACUCGUCACUCAUUUACUUCGUCACUAAUUGUGAAUUUGUAUGGAUGAUCAUAUCCUUCACUCCUAGUUGGCGUGCUAGUUGUAACCCUGAUAUUAAAACUUCAUAUUCUAUUGCGUUUUUGGAUGUUUGAAAUCCAAAAGUUAAUCUGUACCGCCAUUCAUUCCCACUGGGAUCAAUCAGAAGUACUCCUACUCCUGAACCUGUCUUGUUUGUGGAGCCAUCAAAAUACACUAGCCACAUUUUCCAAUUAUCGAUUGUAUCUACAACCCCCUGAGGUGGACUAACUACUGGGUUGCAUACAAUAGAUGAAAAAUAUAUCUUAAAAUAAAGUGUGAGUUGAUCAUAAAUUAUUAUUAAAACAAUAAGCUAAAUUGUAACAGCUCGUUUUUCAGUGGUGAUAGAACAACGGUUUUGGAACCACAAAUUUCCAUCGUGUUGACCCGUAAGUAUUAUUUAUAGAAUAUUUACGAAGUCAUUAGAGUCGUAUUAAAAUUUGGUUAAGAAAUUUUAUCGUUUAAAUAGUUAAUUAAAAAAGGACUAAAUUAAAAAAGAUGUAAAACUUGGUAAUUAUUGCAUUUAGAUGAUUUAAUAGCUUAAAUAUCAUAGGAGGGAGGACCUAAGUAGUAAUUAAACCCUAGUUAUUAUUGUUGGAUGGCUAUUGGAAUGAAAAUAAUAAAAUAACACAUGUUUUAAUGGCAAAAUAGUAAUUAACAUAAAAUUAAAACAAAAUAAUUAGAAAAAGAUAGCAUCUUCUUCUCCAUUUUAUUUUCAAAGUUGGCCAAAAACACCAUAACAGAGAAGCUUAAACAUUCAGCUGGUUUGAGCCUUGCAUGGGUAAGUUUUGAGUCCCGUUUUUAAUGAAUUUUAUGUUUUUGAGAUCGUUACAACUAGGUCCAACUAAUUCGUACCUUCCUUUCUGAAUCUGUUAAAAUUUUAGAAGUUUCCAUUGAUGAAUCUUGAUUUUUUUAUGAUAAUUAUGUGUUUGAAGCUUUGAUUGUGGUAUUUGGUUGUUUUAUAAAGUAAUUUUAAUUAGUUUUUAUUUAAGGAUUAAAUUAUUAAAAUGUCAAAAUUUUAAGGUUUGAUGGUGAACGAGAUGUAUAAUUAGGACUGUUUAAGGGCCAAUAUUAUUCGGUUGUAAAUUUUGACUUUAGAAAAUAGUUAAUUUGAUUAUUUUCAGGUUGUUAACUUGAGAAAAUGAUUUUCAGUUGUUAAUUUGCUAAAAGUUGGAAAAGUUAGGGGUAAUUGUGUAAUUUUGAAAAAUAAAAUGUAACAGCCUGAUUUUAGUGGUGUUGGAAACAGUGGUUCGAGACCACCAAAUCCAACGAGUAAGCUCGUAAAAUUUUUUAUUUAGUCUUUAUGAGUCAAAUAUGGUUUUAGAAAGAUUUUUGAAGUGGUAAUUUAUGUUUUAUAAUGAAUUAUUAGGUUAGAAUGGUAAAAACCUAGGUCAAGUGGUUUUAAAAAAUGAGGCAUCGAGAUCGUGUUUCUAUAAACUGAGCCGUAAAUAUUUUUAUAAAUAUUUACGGAGUGUCAUUAACAUAGUAUUAAAGCUACGUUAAAAAAUUUUAACGUUUCGGUAGUUAAUUGAUUAAACAGGACUAAAUUGAAAAAGGUACAAAACUUGCAAAUUGUAAGAAAUAAUUGAUUAAAUGACUUACUUAAUAAACAAUGGAGGGCUUAACGAGUAAAUAUGCCUAAAAUAAAAGGGUAGGACGACAUGUAAGUGUGAAAUAAUAAAAUAAAGUAAACGAAUGGCAAAAUUGUAUUUUGCAUGAAAUUAAACAUACAAAUUAAAAUUAAAAGAGAAUUCUAGACAACUUUCUUCUUCAACUUCAGUAAACCGACAUGGGAGAGAGUUUCUAAGCUAGUUUUUCUUAUUUUUGUUGCAUGUGAGUCUAAUUCUUACAUGUUUCUUGUAUUUUUAUGUUUUUGAGAUUGUUACAAUUAGGUACAACUAAAUCCUACCUUAGUUUUUGAUUUUAUUAGAAAUUUUGAAAGUUAUCAUUGAUGAAUAAUAGAUUUUUUUGAUGAAUAACAUGGAUUUAGAGUUUUAAUUUUGUUGUAUGAUGAUUUUAUAAAGUGAUUUUGUUAAAUAUUGAUUUUAGGAUCAAAUUUUGAAAAAGUUAAAAUAUUAGGGUUUGGUAUUAAAUUUCUAUUUUAUUAAGAGCUGUAUAAUAACCUAGAAUGUUUAGUUAAAUUAUUAAUUGAGGAAAAUUAGUUAAUUUGAUAGAUUAACUAGUUAAUGAACUAAAUUACAAAAGUUGUAAAACUUUGGGGUAAUUGUGUAAAUUUGAAAAUUGAAAGGUAGUAAUUGUGAAAUGAAUUGGAACUAAAAUAUAUGCUAAUGAAUGAGUAAUUUUAUAUUUUAGAUGAAGAUCCCGUAUAUACUCGUAAAAAAGGAAAAUUAGCAAAAUAGUCCUUAAACUUUUGCAAAUAUUACAAUUUAACCCAGGUAAGUUCGUACGGUUAAAAGUUAAUAAUUAUAUUGAUUUGAUGAAUGGUAUUAUAUAUAUUUAUUCUAUUGUUGAAAAUGAAUUAUUGUUGAAGUUAUAAUUUUGUAUUGAAUAAUCGGAUUAAAUGGAACGCGAGAUUUGAGUACAUUCGUUAUGUGGCGCAUGGCAAUAUUGGAGGAAAAAGAUGAAUAAUUAUCCAGGUAAAUCUGGGUUCAGUAUUUGUUGUGAACUCUCGUGUUUUACUUUCUGUUUAGCUAUUACGAGCUUCUAUUUAACUCAUAUGAGUUUCUAUUUAGCUCUUAUGAGCUUCUGUUAAACUCUUAUGAGUUUUUUUUCAGCUCUUACGAGCUUCUGUUCAACUCUAAUCGGUUUUUGUUUAGCUCUUAUGAGCUUCUAUUUAGCUCUCAUGAGCUUUUGUUUAGUUUUCGGGAUUCUUAAAAUGAUGUACUCUUAUACAUAACCCGUUCUUCAGUUUGGGAAAGAUUUGGUAAGGUGAUUUAUAUAUUGAAAUCGAAAGACAUAUUAUUUAUUUUUGGUAUUAACUUGAAACAAGUGUAUUCAUCGAUUUAAGUUGUGGUUGACAGGGAGUUUACAUGAAUGAUUUUAUUUAAUUGAUUUGUUAUAGUAGGUUCGGUAAGAUUUAUGUUUAACCCACCGAACUUACUAAGCUUCAUUAAGCUUAUGUGUAUUGUUUCUUGUCUUUGUAGAUUUUCAGAAGGUUGGGCGAUUGGAUCAACAUUCAAAUCACACUAUCCAAUUUAUUCCGGUAGUUUUUGAAACAUUCAAUACGAUUUAUAUGGCAUGUAUAGGGUUGGUGUAGAUUUGAUUAAAAUUUGUCUUGUGUAAAUGUUAGGAGUGAUGUUUUGUUUAUAAAAUCAAUUUAAAUAUAUAUUUUGGUUUGGAAAUGAAGUAAAUUUGUGAUGUGGGUGUGAAUGAUAUAUGUUUGUAUGUAUUUAAUUUGUGGUAAACUUUAGUAGAAUUGCUAAAUUGAUUAAAUAGGUAAGUUUGAGUAUUUGGGUAUGUGUGAUGAUAUGUUAUGUUUAAAACAUGAUUUUGGCUUGUUUUGAUUGCUUUGUUAUGGCUUAUUGAUGUGUUAAAAUGUUGUGUUUAGGUUGGUACCAAAAUGAGUGAGAAAUGUGGCCUUGAAAUGGCCUAUUUUCAUCCACACAAGUAGAGACACGGGUGUGUGUCUCAGCAGUGUCUGACACAUGGCCAAGUGACACGGCCGUUUGUCCCCUGUAACUUAGAAAUUUGUACAAGUCAGUAUCCUCACACGGCCUAGCAUACUGUCAUAUGGCUUGGCCAUGUGACCCAAGUAAGAGAGCUCCUAAGUUUGGACACGGGCUGGGACACGGCCGUGUGCCCUUAUUUCGAAUGCCCACACGGCCUGAGACACGGGCGUGUCUCUUGAUCGUGUGAGCCACACGACCUGGCCACAUGGGCGGGUGUCCCCUGCGCCUUUGAAAAUUUUUUAUGUUUCCUGAAAAAACAAAUUUUCUCUAAGUACCCGGUUUAGUCUUGAUUUAUUUUUAAUGUGUAUUUUGGGCCUCGAUGGCUCAUAUAAGGGACUUUAUGAUUGAUUUAUGAUAUGAAUACUAUAUGAUGAGAAAUAUCAGUUUUCUUGAUUUGUAAAUAUCGGUAAUACUUCGUAACCCUAUUCUAAAAACGGAUACGGGUUAGGGGUGUUAUAUUUGUGGUAUCAGAGCAUCAAUUUAGCCGAUUCUCAGACUAAACGUAGCAUGUGAAAUAUCUAAAAAUACAUGCCAUAUAAAUCUGUGAUAGUGUGAUGCGUAUGAUCCGAUCUAACCUUUGUUUUCUUAUAGAUUGUAAAGAUGUCAGAUGGAUCUGAACGUGCUGAAAAUGAUGAGGUUAAUAGUAAAGCACCAACUUCUUAACAUGGGAUGAGUAGUAAUGUCCUGAUUCCUCCGGUUCAGGAACAAGAACUUUAAAUCAUGUUCUUUAGGUAUAUGAACCAGUGGUUCAACGAGUUUAUGCAAGAAAGAAAUCCGGCUCAGCUACCUCCACCCCCUACUAUACCAUUUGUAGUACCUCCGGUUGCACCUCCACAUCCUCCAGUGACUGAACCUACUAGACGUACUCCAAUUGAGAAACUCAGAAAGUAUGGUGCUGAAGAAUUUGGAGUAGGUCAGAGGAUGAUCCAGUUAAAGUUGAGUAUUGACUUCAAAAUAUAAUAAGGGUCUUCGAAGUAAUGGCUUGUUCCCCUGAUGAUUACCUUAUAUGUGUUGUUUCAUUAUUGAAAAAGGAAGCAUAUAACUAGUAGUCGACAAUAGUAGCUGUGGUACCAAAAUUGAAAAUUUCCUGGGAAUUUUUCCAAACUGAAUUUAAAAAGAAAUAUGUAGGAAAAAGGUAUUUGGAUAAAAAAAAAGAGAAAAUUUCUUGAGUUACGUCAAGGAUAUAGAUCAAUAGCUGAGUAUGAGAGAGAAUUUGUAUAUCUCAGUAAAAAUGCUCAAGAAAUUGUGUCAACUGAAGCAAAAAUGUGUAUCUGGUUUAAAGAUGGGUUGAAUGAUAAAAUUCGAAUGAUGAUCGGAGGUAAUGAAAUACAAGAAUUUGUUGUCUUAUCUGAUCGUGCAUAGAAAAUGGAAAAAGUGUACAACUGUAAGAUACAACGAGACAGGCGGAAUCGAGAAUUUUACAAAAGAGACUCUUCUAAAUCAUUUUCGGCAUCACUAGAGAAAAAGUCUAAAGAUGAUUUUAGUCGAGCUACCUUAGUGCCUUAACGUUCAAAUAAAAACAAGACGAUCCAAUACGAUUUCAGGGUGCCUACUAGACUAAUUGAUAGUGUAGAUAGUGUACAACUUACUCUAAAGCCUAAAUAUAGAUACUGUGGAAAAUAUCACCCUGGCGAGUGUAAAAGUAAAAUGGGAGCCUGUUAUAGGUGUGGAUCAACUGAUCAUUUUAUUCGUGAUUGUCUCAAAUUGCUAAGAGAAGAUUAUGUGCAGAAAGAACAGGAAUUGUCUACUUCUCAGAAAAGUAGAUGCUCGGACCAAAAUAGUGCUACUAGUACUGCUCAUUCAGGAAUGAAAGAUACUGUUGUUCGGUCAGAAGCUAAAGCACCUGCACGUACCUACGCCAUUCGAGCUAGAAAGGAAGCUACUACUCCAAAUGUGAUUGCUGGUAUAUUCUAUCUCUUUGAUGUUACUGUGUAUGUUUUGAUUACCCUGGGUCAACUCAUUCUUAUAUUUUCACUGUAUUAGUAACAAAAAGAAAGUUGCCUUGAUUAUGAUAUUAAAGUUACUAAUCUAUUAAGUCAAAGUGUGAUAGUUAAUUUAGUUAGUCGAAAUUGUCCACUGAAAGUUAAGAGCUGUGAAUUCCCUGCUGAUUAGAUGUUGUUACCCUUUCGGGAAUUUGAUGUUAUCCUGGCAAUGGAUUGGUCAUUUUUGCAUGAUGUUGUGGUAAAUUGUAGACAGAAAUGGAUUGAUUUGAAAUGUCAGAUAGGAUAGAUGAUUUCUGUUGAGUCUGAGAAUCCGAAAGAUGUUGUUAAAAUUAUUUCAGCUUUUUCUGCUCAGAAAUUGAUACAAAAAGGUAACGAAGCAUUUCUAGCAUAUAUCCUUGAUACCCGAGAUUUAGAAUUGAAGCUAGAUCAGUUACCAGUUGUUAGUGAGUUUGCUGAUGUAUUUUCUAAAGAAUUGUCAGGUUUACCUCCUAACCGUGAAGUGGAGUUUGUAAUUGAUUAGAUUCCUAGAACUGCUCUGAUAUCAGUAACACCAUACUGUAUAGCACCAGCUGAACUAAAGGAAUUAAAAGCAUAGUUGCAAGAGUUAUUAGACCGAGGGUUUAUCAGACCAAGCAUGUCUUCUUGGGGUGCACCUGUUUUGUUUGUGAAAAAGAAAGACAAUUCUUUGAGAUUGUGUAUAGACCACAAACAAUUUAACAAAGAUACAAUUAAAAAUAAAUACCCUUUACCACGUAUCGAUGAUUUGUUUGAUCAACUGAAAGGUGCCGCAGUGUUCUCAAAAAUAGACCUUAGAUUUGGGUAUUAUCAAUUGAAGGUUAAAGAAUGUGAUGUGCUAAAAAAUUCUUUCAGAACUCGUUAUGUUUAUUAUGAGUUUUUGGUAAUGCCAUUUGGUUUGACUAAAGCCCCUGUUGCUUUUAUGGAUUUAAUGAACCGAAUUUUUCAACCUCACUUGGAUAGAUUCGUGGUUGUGUUUAUUGACGACAUACUAAUCUAUUCAAAGACAGAAUCCGAGCAUACACAACAUUUAAGGAUCAUACUACAGACUUUGAGAAAAAAGCAGUUGUAUGCAAAGUUUAGUAAAUGUGAAUUCUGGCUUCGUGAGGUUGGAUUUUUAGGUCAUAUAGUAUCAGCUGAUGGGAUUCGAGUUGAUCCGAGUAAAGUUUUUACUGUGAUAAAUUGGAAAACUCUGAAAAAUGUUUCAGAAGUGCAAAGUUUUCUGGGUUUACCAGGUUACUACCGACGCUUUGUCAAAAACUUUUCAAUUAUUGUUUUACCGAUGACCCAAUUAUUUCAAAAAAUGUGGAGUUUGUUUGGUCCGAAGAGUGUCAACAGAGCUUUGAUCAGCUAAAGAAAAUGUUGACUGAAACUCCACUCUUGACUCAGCCAGAAUCUGGUGUAGCGUAUGUUGUUUAUAGUGAUGCAUCUCUCAAUGGUUUGGGUUGUGUACUGAUACAGUCAGGAAAGGUAGUAGCUUAUUCUUCUCAACAAUUAAAGUCGUAUGAGAAGAAUUAUCCUACACAUGAUCUUAAGUUGGCUACGAUCAUAUUCACUUUGAAGAUUUGGAGACAUUAAUUAUACAGCGAGAAAUGUUACGUGUUCACAGAUCACAAAAGUUUAAAGUAUUUCAUGACCCAGAAAGAAUUGAAUUUAAGAAAGAUGUGUGGUUAGAAUUACUCAAAGAUUACGAUCUAGUUAUUGAUUACCACCCGAGAAAGGCUAAUGUGGUUGCGGAUGCAUUUAGUCGAAAAUCAUCAUUGUUUGCACUCCGAGCAUUGAACGCUCAUUUAACUCUUAGUGAAGAUAGUUCUGUAUUAGCCGAAUUGAGAACGAAACCCCUGUUUCUGUAACUGAUUCGAGAAUUGCUAAAUGACGAUCCGAAAUUGGUGUAGAAACGACAGAUGGUUCAGGACAAUCUGAGUUCAGAGUAUAGUGCUGAUGGUAGUGGUAUGUUGCGUUAUUGCAAUAGAAUUUGUGUUUCGAAUAAUUUGGAUUUGAAAAAUGAUAUUCUUUCUAAAGCUCAUAGUAGCACGUACUCCAUUCAUCCGGGGAGUACAAAGAUGUAUUGUGACUUGAAACAGAUGUAUUGCUGGCCGGGUAUAAAACAGGAAAUCUAUGAAUUUGUAGCUAAACGUUUGAUAUGUCAGCAGGUGAAAGCAAAACAUUAGGUACCAACGGGUUUAUUACAACCUGUUUUGAUUCCUAAAUGGAAGUGCGAACGAGUCACAAUGGAUUUUGUAUCUGGAUUACCUAUAACUCCGAGAAAAAAAGAUUCGAUCUGGGUGAUUGUUGAUAGAUUGACUAAAUCGACACAUUUUAUUCCAGUAAGAACAGACUUUACACUGGAAAAACUAGUGGAACUGUAUAUAUCUGAGAUUGUAAGAUUACAUGGAGUUCUGACCUCUAUUAUUUUGGAUCGAGAUCCAAGAUUUACAUCGAGAUUUUAGAGUAAUUGCAGCACAACAUUUCAUCCUCAGACUGACGGACAAUCAGAACGAGUAAUUCAGAUACUGGAAGAUAUGUUGAGAUAUUUUAUACUCAAAUUUGGAGGUAGCUGGGAAAUGUGUUUACCGUUAGCUGAAUUUGCAUAUAAUAAUUAUCAAUCCAGUUUAAAAAUGGCACCAUUUGAAGCUCUUUAUGAGAGAAUAUGUAAAACACCAUUAUAUUGGUCUGAACUGAGUGAAUCCAAACUAGUAAGAGUUGAUUUGAUCCGCGAGACUGAGGAUAAAGUUUAGAUUAUCUGGGAUAGUUUGAAAGAUGCUUCUGAUCGUCAGAAAUCGUAUGCAAAUUUGAAAAGAAAAGAUAUAGAAUUUGCUGUUGGGAUCGGGUAUUCUUAAAAGUCUCUCCAUAGAAGAAAGUAUUACGGUUCGGCAAGAAAGGAAAGCUGAGUCCAAGAUUUAUCGGACCGUAUGAAAUCGUUAAAAGAAUCGGCCUUGUAGAUUAUAAAUUAGCUUUGCCUCUUGAACUUGAGAAAAUUCAUAAUGUGUUCCACGUAUCGAUGCUGAGACAGUACAGAUCUAAUCCUACACAUGUGAUUCCUCAUAGUGACAUUGAGCUACAGCCAAAUAAAACAUAUUCGGAAGAACAUGUGAGAAUUUUAGCUCGAAAGGUUAAAGAAUUGCAACAUAAACGAGUACCAUUGGUAACAGUAUUGUGGCAUCGUCAUGAUUCGGAAGAAGCGACUUGGGAAACAGAAGAAUCAAUGAGGUCAUAAUUUCUGAAUCUAUUCUCAGGUAACAAAUUUCAAGGACAAUUUCUUAAAGGGGAAGAGUUGUAACAGCCUGAUUUUCAGUGGUGUCGGAAACAGUGGUUCGAAACCACCAAAUUUGACCAGUAACCUCGUAAAUUUUAUUAUCUAGUAUUUACGAGUCAAAUGUGGUUUUAGAAAGAUUUUUGAACUGGUAAUUUAUGUUUUAUAAUGAAUUAUUAGGUUAGAAUGGUAAAAUCCUAGGUCAACUGGUUUUAAAAAAUAAGGUAUCGAGACCUCGUUUCUAUCAACUGAGCCAUAAAUAUUUUUAUAAAUAUUUACGAAGUGCCAUUAAGAUAGUAUUAAAGUUUCGUUGAAAAAUUUUAACAUUUCUGUAGUUAAUUGAUUAAAAAAGACUAAAUUGAAAAAGGUGCAAAACUUGCAAAUUAUAAGAAAUAAGUGAUUAAAUGACUUAAUUAAUAAACAAGGGAGGACUUAAGGAGUAAAUAUGCCUAAAAUGAAAGGGCGGGAUGGCAUGUAAGUAUGAAAUAAUAAAAUAAAGUAAAUGGAUGGAAAAAUUGUAAUUUGCAUGAAAUUAAACAUACAAAUUGAAAUUAAAAGAGAAAUCUUAACAAUUUUCUUCAACUUUAGUAAACCGACAUGGGAGAGAGUUUCUAAGUUGGUUUUUCAUGUUUUUGCUGCACGUGAGUCUAAUUCUUACCCGUUUCUUGUCAUUUUUAUAUUUUUGAGAUUAUUACAAUUAGGUACAACUAAACCCUACCUUAGUUUUUGAUUUUAUUAGAAAUUUUGAAAGUUACCGUUGAUUAAUAAUAGAUGGUUUUCAUGAAUAACAUGGAUUUAGAGUUUUGAUUUUGUUGUAUGAUGAUUUUAUAAAGUGAUUUUGUUAAAUAUUGAUUAUAGGAUCAAAUUGUGAAAAAUUUAAAAUAUUAGGGUUUGGUAUUAAAUUUAUGUUUAAUUAAGAGUUGUAUAGUAGCCUAGAAUAUUUAGAUAAAUUAUUAAUUGACAAAAAUUAGUUAAUUUUAUAGAUUAACUAGUUAAGGGACUAAAUUAAAAAAGUUGUAAAUGUUUGAGAUAAUUGUGUAAAUUUGAAAAUUGAAGGGUAUUAAUUGUGAAAUGAAUUGGAACUGAAAUAUAUGCUAAUGAAUGAGUACUUUUAUAUUUUAGAUGAAGAUCCCGUAGAUACUCGUGAAAAAGGAAAAUUAGCGGAAUAGUCCCUGAACUUUUACAAGUAUUACAAUUUAACCCAGGUAAGUUCGUACGGUUAAGCUUUAAUAAUUAUAUUGAUUUGAUGAAUGGUAUUAUAUAUAUUUAUUCUAUUGUUGAAAAUGAAUUAUUGUUGAAUUUAUAAUUUUGUAUUGAAUAUUCAGAUUAAAUGGAAUGCGAGAUUUGAGUACAUUCGUUAUGUGGUGCAUGGCGAUAUUGGAGGAAAACGACAGCAAAUUACCCAAGUAAACUGAGGUUCAGCAUUUGUUACGAACUCUCAUGUUUUACUUUCUUUUUAGCUUUUAUGAGCUUCUGUUAAACCCUUAUGAGCUUCUGUUCAACCCUUAUCGGAUUCUGUUUAGCUCUUAUGAGCUUCUGUUCAGCUUUCGGGCUUCUGAAAACGAUGUACUCUUAUUCGUAAGUCGUUCUUCAAUUUGGGAAAUAUUUGGAAAGGUGAUUUAUAUAUUGAAAUCGAAAGAAAUAUUAUUUAUUUUUGGUAUUGACUUGAAACAAAUGUAUUCAUCGAUUUAAGUUGUGGUUGACAGGGAGUUUACAUGAAUGAUUUUUAUUUAAUUGAUUUGUUAUAGUAGGUUCUGUAAGAUUUAUUUAAUUGAUUUAUGUGUAUUGUUUAUUACCUUUGUAGAUUAUCGAAAGGUUGAGCGACCGAAUCAACACUCAAAUCACACUAUCUAGCUUAUUUUGGUAGUUUUUGAAACAUUUAAUACGGUUUAUAUGGCAUGUAUAGGGUUGGUGUGGAUUUGAUUAAAGUUUGGCUUGUGUAAAUGUCAGGAGUGAUGUUUUGUUUAUAUAAUCAAUUUAAAUAUAUAUUUUGGUUUGGAAAUGAAGUAAAUUUGUGAUUUGUGUGUGAAUGAUUUAUGCUUGUAUGUAUUUAAUUUGUGGUAAACUUUAGUAGAAUUGCUAGAUUGAUUAAAUAGGUAAGUUCGAGAAUUUGGGUAUUUGUGAUGAUAUGUCAUGUUUAAAACAUGAUUUUGGCUUGUUUGAUUACUUUGUUAUGGCUUAUUGAUGUGUUAAAAUGUUGUGUUUAGGUUGGUACAAAAAUGGGUGAGAAAUGUGGUCUUGAAAUGGCCUAUUUUCGUCCACACGGGUAGAGACACGGGUGUGUGUCUCAGUCGUGUCUGACGCACGGUCAAGUGACACGGCCAUGUAUCCCCUGUAACUUAGAAAUUUGUACAAGUCAGUAUGUUCACACGGCCUAACACAUGGGCGUGUGGCUUGGCCGUGUGACCCAAGUAAGAGAGCUCCCAAGUUUGGAAACGGGCUGGGACAUUGCCGUGUGCCCCUAUUUCGAAUGCCCACACGGCCUGAGACACGGUCGUGCCUCUUGACCGUGUGAGCCGCACGGCCUGGCCACACGGGCGUGUGUCCACAGCACCUUUGAAAAUUUUUUAUGUUUCCUGAAAAAAAAAUUUCUCUAAGUACUGGGUUUAGUCCCGAUUUAUUUCUAAUGUGUAUUUUGGGCCUCGAGAGCUCAUAUAAGGGACUUUAAGAUUGUCUUAUGAUAUGAAUACUAUAUGAUGAGAAAUAUCAGUUUACUUGAUUUGCAAAUACUGGUAAUACUUCGUAACCUUGUUCCGGCGACUGAUACGAGUUAGGGGUGUUACAUAAAAGGGUAUAAAAUGCAGAGUUAACUAGAAUAUGAAAUGUAAGCUAAUAAUUGGGAAAUUGUACAUUUUAGAUUAAGACCUUUUUGAUUUACGUAAAAAGGGGAAAAUUACAAAAUAGUCCUUAAACUUUUGCAACUAUUACAAUUUAGUCCAGGUAAGCUCGUUCAAUUUUUAAUUUAAUAUCUAUAUGAAUUGUAUGAUGAUAUGGUAUGAAAUAGUGGAUGUUAAUUAUUCUAUUGGUGAUGUAAAGUUGUUUGGGAAAAUGUUAUUGAAUUUUGGUACUUGGGCCGAAUGAAUGCGAGAUAGAGAACAACUGAAUGACAGCGUGCUAUGCAGAUAUUGGAGUGGAGAUUGAUGUGGUGUGUUUUAUAUAUUUUUCCCGAGUAUACUGAGGUUCAACAUUUGUUGCAAAUCCUUGUAUUAUACUAUCUUGUUCUGGCGUGUUAUGAGGGGCAGAUGUAUAGCCUACGGGCUAGGCACUUAGUGUCGAGGCGUGUUAUUGGUUGGAUUAGCUCUUGUGAGCAUUUGGCAUGUUAACGGUUGGAUUAGCUCUUAUGAGCAUUUGGGGUGUUUUGGUUAGAUUACUUAUGUACUCGUAUCUGUAAGUCAUCCAUCAAGUCGUAAAUUAUUGUAUUAUAACAUGUUUAAUGACUUUGAAUGACAUGACAUGUACUAGAUAUCUUGAAUUGACUCUGUUAUGGACAUGUAUGUUUUCCGGAAAUUAUUAUUGAGCUUUAAAUUGAACUAUGUAAUUCACUGGUUUGAAAUUGUGGAUGACAGGAAACAUUUGUUGUUGAAUUAUGUUUGAUUAAAUUGUUAUAUUUACUUCGGUAAGAUUUAUUGUUUCUGUCUCUUGAACUUACUAAGCUUCAAUAAGCUUACUUGUGUUCAUUUUUGUUUCUUGUAGAUACUUUUGAGGGUUGGAUGAUCAGAUCAACACUCAAGUCACACUAUCCCUCUGAUUUCAGUAGUUUUUGAACGUUUAUUUUGGAUUAUAUGGCAUGUAAUAAGUUGUUAUGUCAAUAACCUCGUUUGAUAUGUAUAUAUAUCUAUAAGGCAUGUAAUUAGUUAAUCUUUUAAUCGAUGUUGUCUUGUAAUAUGAUGAUUGUUACAUGAUUGCUAGGUUUGGUGGUGAAUAUAGUUCAUUUUGUGAAGUUGUGGUUAAGUUUUUGGUAAGCUUUGCUAUGAAUAAAUAUGAUACAUGUUUGAUAUUAACUUAGCAAGUUAUAAGGUUAGGUAUUCAGCUUAAAAUUGAUAAGAUUAUAUAUUUUGAAUGGAUGAAUAGUUGAUGAUUUAUAUGUUUGUAUAAAUGUGUAUACUUGCGGUACCAUUGAGGGUACAUUGGUUAGGCAUUUAAGAUGGUUGAUUUAGCAUGAUUUGAGCAUGUUUAAUGGAAUUUUGAAUAAGUCUAAUGGUUGGUAAAUGGAUUGCUUAGUGUUCAAGAAACCUUGAAAUGGUAAACUUAAUGUUUAACGUUCAUUUAGGUGCACAGGGCCUAGGACACGGGCUAUCACACGGCCGUGUGCCACACAUGGUCUAUGACAUGGCUGUGUGUAACAAGUCAGUGAGUCACACGGUCUGCGACAUAGUAGUGUGUAUUAAGUCAGAAAGUUACACUGUAUGGCACACAAUUUGCGACACGGUCGUGUGUAUCAAGUUAGUGAGUUACAUGGUUUAAGACACGGGCUGGGACACGGCCAUGUAUCCCAAUUUCGAAUACUCACAAGGCCUGGGCUAUGUCACACAGCUGUGUGUCCCUUGUUUUUGAAAUUUUUCAUAUUUUCCUAAAAUUUCCUGACUUAUUUCAAAUUAGUCCCUGAAAAUUUUAAGAUUAUUUCUUUAGUCCCUUUAAGCUUGAUUUAAGCCUCGUAAAUGUAAGUUAUUAUUGUAAUUUAAUUACUUUAUGGUAUUUGAGAAAUUAUAUUGUAAUGAUCAUGAUUUUUACCUGUUUAUUUCUAUUAACUUGCUAUAGCAUUCUCGUAAUCCCUAUUCUGGUGACGGAUACGAGUGUUACAUAAAUUUUUGUUGUUCAUCAAUUGUUCACAGGAAAUUAUGAGUACCAUACACGUUUAAUUUCAUAAAAUAUUCAUAGCUCUAUAUUUCAAGUUACACACUAUAUUACCUACUGGAUCAACAGUCUUUUCAAAAGAGCACUCGACUAUAAAGUCGACUAAUAUCUGUCCUUUUAUGGUUGUUCUCAGGGCAAACUCCAUGCCAAAUUCAGCUAACUCGAUACUUCACUUCUUCACCCUUCCCGAAGUAUCAGAUUUAGAUAAAAUUUCUUUUAUAAGCUUAUUAGUCAUGACGACAACUAGAUGAGCCUAGAAGUAGGGGCGUAGCUUACGAGUUGCAAAAAUUAGAGUAAAGAUGAAUUUUUCAAUUUUUGAAUACCUCAGCUCGCCGUUCUAGAGUACCUUACUGACGUAGUAUACUGGGAAUUGAUGAACGUCUUCUGUUCUAACUAGGACUACUGCAAUUGUUUCCUAUGAGGUAGCCAAGUACAAAUAGAGGGUCCCUCCCACUCGUGGUAACUUCAGAAGUGGUAGGGAGGUGAUGUAUAACUUAAGCUUUUCAAAGGUUGAUUGAUACUCCUCAGUCCACAAAAAGGAGGUCAUCAGGGCUUUGAAGAAGGGAAGGCAUUUAUCCGCUAUCCUAGAGAUAAACCUGUUAAGCGCCAUUAUUUUUCCCGUGAGGAACAGAAUAUCUAUAAUAGUCUGCGGAUGAGGCAUUUCCAAGAUAGUAUGAAUCUUUUUUUGGUUCACCUCUAUCCCCCUUUCUGAGAUCAUAAAGCUUAAAAACCUACCAGCUCGUACACCAAAAGCACACUUCUCAAGGUUCAACUCCAUGUUGUGGGUCCUCAAAACUACGAACACCUCUGACAAGUUUCGCACGUGCUCUUCCAUGGUUGUACUUUUUACUAACAUAUCAUCGACAUAAAUUUCAAGACCAUGCCCUAUCUACUUCUUAAAAAUCUUGUUCACCAGUCUCAAAUAGGUUGCUUCGACAUUCUUGAGGCCAAAAAGCAUAACCCGAUAGCAGAACAACCCCUCCUCAGUGAUGAAAGUUAUUUUCUCAUGGUCAUAUUGAUCCAACAAAAUUUGGUUAUAACCCUAAAAGGUGUCCAUUAAGCUCAUGAACUUGUGACCUAAAGAAGCAUUAACCAAACGGUCAAUCGAGGGUAAAGGGAAGUUGUCCUUAGUGCACGCUUUGUUGGGGUUGGUGGAGCAAUACACAUCCUCAAUUUGCCAUUUUUUUUGUUCACCAUAACCACAUUUGUGACCCAAUUUAGAUACUCAACUUCCCUGAUAAAACCUGCCGACAACAAUUUGGCUACCUCUUGCCUCACGGCUUCCAUCACCUGCGAAGCAAACUUUCUCUUUUUCUUCUUAACAAGCUUGGCUUCAGGAAGUACAUUUAGCCUGUAGACAAUUACCUUACGAGUCAAUCCCUGGCAUAUCUGCUGCUGACCAGGCAAAACAUCGGAGUCCGCUUUCAAAAACUGAACUAAAGUGUCUUUUUCUUCAGGUAAUAAUAUUGAUGAAAUUUUAAUUUUCCUUUGUUCAUCAUCGUAAAAUAGCUGUAAAGCCUCUGUGUGCUCUACUACUUCAGGUUUCUUACUUCUCUCUUCAUCCAUCUCAUCUAGUCUAUCUAAGUCAAAGGCUUGACUAACCAACUUUGUGCUCUACGAACUCUUCCCCUCGGUUGCAGACUCUCGUGCCUGUUUCACAAACAACAUGUGACAUUGUCUCGUUGUUCGCUGGCCAGAUCGCCUGAACUCCAUCAUUGUCCUUAUCGAAAAUUUGAUCUUUAUACAAAAUGUCACCAUUACUAUCUUUACUGUUCUUAUAAUCGGGCACCCAAAAAUGGCAUUAUACUCCACAGGAUGGUCUACGAUAAAAAACUGGACAUAUUCUGUAGUCGUAUGCUCACUAUCUCCCAAGGUGACUGGCAAAGUGGGUAGAACCAUUUACCUCAACUAGGUGGUUAGCAAAACCAUAUAGCGGACUAGCAUUAGGCAAAACCUGUUCCUUCAAGCCCUUCUUUUGAUAAGCUUCCUGGGUUAUAACCUCUAUCGCGCUCCCACUAUCAACCAAUAUUCUUCUUACCUCAAAACCUAUGAUCGUUACAGAUAUUACCAUCGGGUCAUUCCUUUCUUCAUCACACAUGAACUCCUCAUCGUCAUUACCAAACUCAAUAUUCCAUUUUCCCUAUUGAUAUGCCUUUUAGGUGGAUUUACUAUCAUAACACUCAUCAUGUGGCUUUUUCUCUUCGCAUUAGAACUUGCUCAGACCUCAUCUAUGCCUACAAUCACAUGGAUAGUACCUUGAUCCACAAACUCAGAGAGCUCAUCAUUUCUCACUGUCUCUUCGAUAGCAUCUUUCAAAGUAAAAUAAUAUUCGAUUUUGUGCACCACAUCAUUAUAGAAAGCACACCUAUCCCUAGAAUUUAACCUUUUGGAACUCUGCCUCAUAAGAGAUAGCUUAAGCAGGCUACCUAAACUCUUUACCUGGUUCAAUAUGUAUACAUGAGUAGCGUUCAAUGGAGUGUAGGCCUCAAACAUACCUUGAGAUAUAUACCUUCUUGUUUGCUUGGGUUGAGAUCCCUGAGGAGUCUUGGGAGAAUUACCCUAUACUUGCAUUCUCUGUUGUCUAUUAGCUCGGGCACGUAGAGCCUAGUUGGGUUACCCCUACCUACUGCGAGCUCUUUUUCUCUUUCUGAACUGUCUUCCAUCUCAUUGAAAUGUGCCACGCAUCGCUCUCUUAAUAUCUUCUGCUUCCGCGAACUUGUGAGCCCACUCAUACAAGUUCGCUAAAGUCUGAGGCUUGUUACCAGAAAGGAGUAUUGUACAUGUUCAUUUUGCACCCCAUGAUGAAGGCAUCGAUAGCCCAUUGGUCCUCAAGGUUCUUCGUAUUCAGUGUUGCUGCAUGAAAUCGCUUCACGUAAUCUUAGAGAGACUCUAUUUCUCUCUGUUUUACGAACAUUAAUCCCAUAGGUGUGCUCAUGAUCGUUCUGUGAGCCUUGAACCUUCUUAGAAACAUCUGACCCAAUUGGGACAAACUUCGGACUGAGCCUUAAAGAAAAGAUAAGUACCAAUAAUUCGUACUUCCCUUAAGCGUUGUGGAAAAAGAUUUACACUUCGUAGGGUCCAAGGCUUCCAUUACAUUCAUAUAAUCGUUAUAUUGCAUCAGGUAGGCUCGUAGGUCUCUCCUACCCUCGAACAUGUCUUUUAAGACCUUAAAAUCACGCAGUAGACUUAUUGCUGCUACCUCCGGGGCCAAUGGAUUGUUAGAACAGAAAAGUCAGUCCAUGUCCCUAGACUCAAGAGGCAAUGCCCUCACAUCUCGCCACAAUGCAUCCAUCUCAUUUUGCCAUUCCCUCACAUGUAAGCCUGGGCCUUCAUCCUACAUGGUCAUUUUAUCGUGAAAGUCAAAAUCAUCAGAUUGUACCUUUAUUUUAAGUUCUUCAUUUUGUUUUAAUAACUCCUGUUGAAAAGUUUGUUGCUGUUCAAACCAUGCAUUUUGUGCAACCAUUUGUUCCCUCAUAAACUUCAUCUACUCUUAAAGAGCAAGGAAUUGUUGCGGUGAUGCUUAUUGGUUGGAAGGAAGUGGCAAUCUGUGACCAGAAGGAAGGUUUAAGUCGAAUGGGCUUGAAACUCUCGGGUGAGCCAAAUUACCUAGAUUUUUCAACCGAUCAGCAAACUAGUCGACAAACAAGUCCGUUCCAGCAAGUUGGCUGCAAUAACUCUAGGCUUCAAGUUGUCCAAGUGAAAGAUCGAAAGGGAAAUUUUCAUUCGGGUAAGCCAUCAUAACUUUGGCAAUUUUUAUCAAACUGAAAAGAAAUUCGUUGGUCGAAAAUAUGUCCACGCUCACCGCACCAAUUGUUGAAUUUUUUUUGUUGUGUCUCAUUGAAGGGGACAAUCAAAUAUUUAUACACAUGAUUAUUGUUCAUGAAAUUGACAUUCUUGGUAGGCUCUAUGCAUGUUGGACACGUGUAUUGUCUGGUCUGUUUGCUGGACUUCGUAGCCCUCACAUACGAACUCCUUGCACAUGUGAACUGGGAUUGCAAACUACCCUUGUUAGCCCCUUUAGCGAACCCCCACUACAAGACCUACACACAUCCAACUGGUUAGGCCCAACCGAGUCACAGGUAGGCAAUUUAUAUUUUAUCUAGGUUUUGGGUUGGUGAACACAAAUACAUAAUAAAAGUACAAGAGCUUAAUAUUUAAAUAUAAAAAUUUAGAGGUUAAUUUUUUUAAUUUUAAUAGUACAAGGAACUCUAUGCAGCCAUAACAAAGAAAUUUCAAAAAAAAAUUACCAUAGUGAAGAAAAAGAGACUUUUUCUGUCAGAUUAGGUUUCUCUUUCUCUCUCUCUGAGAGUCUCUCUGACAGUCCUAUACUCUUAACUCUUAUCCUUUUUGCGGCUAGGGUUUUUCUUUCUACAGUACCUUUUCUAACUUUUUUUUUUAAUUUAUUAGAAGAUUGGUUUGGUUUCAUAAUAUAAAAAUCUAAUGGAAGUUUUGUAAGAGUAAGGGAUUUUGUGGUUAUUAUAAAAGAAAGAUUCUAGGGGGUUUGGAAGUGGUUAGUGUGGAUUGUUCAUUAAAAAAAAGAAAUGGCUGGUUUGAACCCUUUUGAUUUGUUGGGGGAUGACGACACUGGGGAACUAUCAUUGCUGAUCGCUGCUCAGCAAAAGGCCGUCGCAGCGGCCACUGCCACUGCUGCUGCUCCAAAGAAGGGCCCAGCAAAGCCUCAAGCUAAGACGCUGCCUGCAACUCAGGCUAAGCUUCCCUCCAAGCCUCUCCCUCCUACUCAGGCUGGUAAGUUUUCUCUAUCAAAGUGACUCAUUAUUUUCUGCUCUCUGUAUUGGGUCUUGAGUUUACCCGAUUGUGUUAAAUUCAAGUUUCAUUUUCUUAAUGGUCGAACUCUGGGGGGGGGGGUUAGUGGGUUUAAGUUUAUUCUGCUUCGGUUUCGUUUCUUGUAAAGUGCAGUUGGACUCUGAUUGUUAAAGACUAUUUGUUGUCGAUUAUUUACUUGGAAUAUAAUCAUUGAGAGUUUCUUAUCUGUAUAGACUUACUUCUUAUAGUGAACAGAGCAAAAGAUUCCGGAACGCAUAUUGGUUUGUUGCUGUUAUUUCUUUUCUAAAAUGAAAUCCAAUGCUGUCAAGUUGCACUCAAGCUACUAGAAUCCUUAUAUGUGGUAUAAAAGCUUAAGAUAUAUGGUAAUGAUAAUACACCUCUAAAAGAUAGAUCAAACUUUAAUCUCAUUAUCCUACAAAAAAAUGAAAUGUACAAUUUUUUGUUGGCCAAUGUGCAUGGUUUUUUUUUUUUUGGAUCUCAUGUCUGUUGUUGAAUAAUCAAGCAUUGAGAAGUAGAGUGUUUGGUAGUGUUCUUCUCUUCUUAGUAAAGGUAAAAUUAAUGAAAAAUAAAAUAAAAAAUGAAUGAAACUAAAGAAAACUUCAAUCAAGCAAACUUCUAAUCCAAUGCAUCUUGCCAAGAGGUCUUGAGGCGCUUUUGUUGUUUGAUGCUGAGGCACAGUGCCAAAGGUGCAUGCCUUAACUAUAGAAAUGAAAUCUGCAUUCUGUGGGGAACUCUUGUCUUUUAUAUCAUAUUCUCUGAAAGUGUCAAUUGGUGUUCCAUCAAAAAGGAGUUCUUUUUUACUCCUUUUCAAAGUGCUUAUGCAUUGGUAUGCAAUUUGUUUUUACUGAAGCUUGAUAGUUGUAGCUUUGAUAUCAUCUUGAUAGUUAUCACAGUUACUCGAAAUAUUUUUUUAUCUAAUAGUCAAUUAUAGUUUCUUUAUAGCUCUCUUGGGCUUAUCACUGAUGUCGUGUUCUUUUAAAGUGAGGGAGGCAAAGAAUGAAGGUGCUCGUGGCGGAGGCCGUGGUGGGCGAGGAUAUGGACGUGGUCGUGGUGGUAGCAGUGGAUACAGACGUGAUUUUGCAAAUGAUGAGAAUUCCUUCAGCAAUAGUGCUGUACCUGAAGAUGGAGAGAGUGGAAAACCCUCUGAAAGGCGUGGCUAUGGUGGUCCUCGACCUUACCGUGGUGGUCGCCGUGGCGGUUUCAGUAAUGGGGAAGAUGCAGAUGGGGAGCAACCUCGCAGGUUGUAUGAACGCCGUAGUGGGACUGGGCGCGGGUAAAAGAAAGAAGCGUUUGUUUGACAUUAGCUUUUAUAUAUUCUGCAUGUCAGCAUUUUAGCCAAGUCUCAAAACUGAUGUUUUUGCUUUCUGUUCAUGUCUGCAGGAAUGAGCUCAAACGUGAAGGUUCUGGUCGUGGAAAUUGGGGAACUCAGACUGAUGAACUUGCUCAGUGAGUUAUCUCUAGAAGUUACAAUCACAACCUUCAAUUUUAUUGUAAAAUCAAUAAAAUAUCACUUUGUUUCACUCUUCUUCCCAUAUUAUAAUCAUAAAAUGAAAUGAAAUAUUGUAUUUUUAUUGUUAAGGGUGACUGAAGUUACCAAUGAAGGUGAGAGGAAUUUAGGUGAUGAAAAGCCAGCAGGAGAAGAGGAUGCUAGAGAGGCUAACAAGGAGAGUGCUUCAAACGAGCCUGAAGAAAAAGAGCCCGAGGAUAAGGUAAAGGGUUAUUGACGUCUGCAACUUUUGUUAAUUAUAUAUGAUAGCUGCUAAUUUGGCUAUUACUUUGUUCAACCUUUCAUAUUGCAUUUUUAUAGGAGAUGACUCUUGAGGAGUAUGAGAAGGUGCUGGAAGAGAAGAGGAAGGCUCUGCAGGCUCUCAAGAUCGAGGAAAGAAAAGUAGAUGCCAAGGAGUUUGAAUCUAUGCAGCAGCUUUCAAACAAGAAGAAUAAUGAUGAGGUCUUCAUCAAAUUGGUAAGACCCUUUGAUUCACUUUGAGAAGUUCGUCAUUAAUGACUUCAUCUUAUUAUUGGGAAAAUAUGUAGUAUUAAUCACUUGUUCCCUAUAAUUGGCUUCUACAGGGAUCUGAUAAAGAUAAGAGAAAAGAGGCUUAUGAGAAAGAAGAGAGAGCAAAAAAGGUAUUUUUACUUAUUUUUAUUAGCCUGUGUCAUAACUUGCCCCUUUUCCUGUUUGAACCUCAAUCACGCGAUUAUUCUGUAUUUAAGGGGCCUUAGUUUAUGCUGUUAUCAGACUCCUUUGAUUUAAGAUUUUCCCUUUUUCCCUUUCUCUUCCAUGAUUAAAGCUUGGAUAUGUGCUUUUACUGUUUUGUGCAAGUUUAUCUGUAGCUUGCAUUUAUAUGUUUUGCUGGCAUGUACUGAUGGUCCGUAUACAUGUGGUGGUGGGUAGUCUGUCAGCAUUAAUGAAUUUCUGAAGCCAGCUGAAGGGGAGAGGUACUAUAAUCCAAGUGGACGUGGACGCGGUCGUGGGCGCGGCUCAAGAGGAUUCGGUGGAGGUAGUGCCGCAAGAGAUGUGGCAGCACCAUCCAUUGAAGACCCUGGGCACUUCCCAACUCUUGGGGGCAAGUGAAGAAGUGAGAUUCCAUUAGAACCCCAUCUAUGAUAUCCAUGGGUUUUAUUGGAAUUUUAGGUACUUUUAAAUUUCGGGCUGGGAAUAAGAUAAAAUAAUCUGGUUUCCUGUCGCCAAAGUAUCUCUGAAUUUUAUGUUGUAAAAUGUAUGUUUCAGGGUUUCUUUCUCUUUUUGUUUUUUUGGGGUUAUUGCCCCCACUAUUGUUAUGCUGUGAUCUUACUGUUAUUGCUCACUGCUCAGUUUUCUUUUGGAAUAGAUGGAACUAGUUUGCUACUUGUUUUCGACCAUUUUAGUUGUGUUCCCCUGAAUCUAAAGAUGAAUAAUACUGAUGCAGGGGAAGUAAAGCCUAUGAUUCUCUAUUCCUACUUUUGCCAUGCUUGAGUUGUCUCCACUCUUUGGCUUCCAUGAGAUGAAUUCUGUUGCCUUUUAAUCGCGAUUGCAUUUCAACAUUUAAUUUUGAGAUAUUAGUACAUGGAUUAAAUUUUAAAUUUUCAAAUAAUAGAGAUACUUAUAUGGCAUAUUUUAACCGAAUCUGAAUGGAAUGGAGUUUAUAUGUAAAAUCUCAUUUUGGACAUUCAUUUAUUAUUAAAGUUAUAAAAAUGAUUUUAAAAAAAUUUUAAAAAAUAUGUAUUAGAAAAUAAAAAGAAAAAAUGUAUAUGAAAUGAUUAAAAGGAAAAUGACCAUAAGUUGAUGAGUAUUAGAGAGAUGAAUUUAGGCAUUCCCAUUGGAUAUUGAAUUGAUAAAGUUCUCUCUCUUUGUUCAAUUCAAUUUGUAUUUUCAUUUCUUGAAUUAGAUUUUUUGAGACUUUGGUCGUUCGACCGAUAUGCUUGAACCAUCUAAGUUUGGAAGUUAUUGAUGGCAUGUCCAAGUUGAAAAAUACUAGAUGAAAAUUUUUUUUUUCAAAGUUUUCCAUUUCAUGAAAAAUUUUAAAUUGUAUUGUUUUCUCUACUCGAAUAUUAGAUCUUUGUAUAUUUUAAAUUAAGAAAAAAAUCAAAAUAAAUGUUUUGUAAUCGUUUAAAAAAUUUUUGUUUAAAUGAAUUUAAUUAAAUAAUAUGAUAUCAAUUUAAAAUAUGAUUUUUAGUAGGAUAUAAGUCAACUUGAUUUCUUUUACCAUUUUCACGAAGAUGCAAUUAAUUUAAAAUGAGCAUAAUACGAAUGGUGUUAAAUAGUUUUCUUAUUCAGUGGGUUUUAGAGGUGCGUUAAGAAAUAUUUAAAAGAAAUGACUUUUUUUAAAUAAUUUUUCUUUUUUUUUUUUAACUUUUAGAUUUUGGAUCAAAUUGAUAGAAUAUAUAAAUAUUGAAAGGUUAAAUUUAUUAUUAGAUCAAUAAAACAUGCCAGCUUUUCGUCACUCAUCUAAUAGCCAAUAAUGAAAUAAUGACAAAAAUAUUUUAUUUCAGAAAGUUGAGUGACUAUGUCACGAGAUAGAUCUGGAAGAAGAAGAUAAUAAAAGCAAAGAAGAAAAAAAAGAGAGAUUCGAGAGAGAAAUGAAGAAAAAGAUACUGAAAAUUUGUUUUCAAAUUUCAUAACUGCUUUCCUCUUCCAAUUGGUACUAAAAGUAACAAAAUAAUGGACUUGGACAACUAGCAGACUAACAACUGCUCAAACCUCACCGUUUCAUUAAACGGUGUUCCUAUCAAAAUGAAUCAUUUAAGCAAGUUGUUAAUCCCCUUAGCCAAAACGCACUGUACAACUAAAACUAGAAAUAAAAAGCAACGUUUACAAUUAUAAGAAAUAACAAUGACAAUAAUAGAAAUAUGAAAUGACUGUUGAAGCUUUGUUCCAUAACAAAUACCCUCCCCCCCUAAACAAGAUCAUUAUCCUCAAGGAUCAAAAGUAGGGAACCUUUGCUAAAUCUCCUUCAAAUUUUCCCAAGUAGAAUCUUCAGGAAACGUGUCAGCCUACUCUACCAGAAUCUCUAUGAUAGCUUGAUUCCCUUCUUUGGUCAUUCAUCUAACACUCGAACUGGUUCUUUAAGGAGGGCACCAUCAAAUCCCAUUGGUGGCAACACUGAUGAACUCACUGCUGAACCAAUAUGUUUCUUCAGCUGGGAAACAUGAAAGGUAGAACAAAUACGAGUUGUUGGUAGCAGAAUCAACUUAUAAGCAACUUGUCUUCCCCUAACUUCCACUGGGAAAAGGCCAAAAUACCUAGGUGACAACUUCUGAUUUUUGAAUUUCCUUAGUAAGUGUUGCAUGUAUGGUUGCUGCUUUAAGUAAACUAGAUCUCUUACCUUAAAUUCCCUCUUAGACCUCCACUUAUUAGCCAUUUGCUUCAUCCUAUCUUGAGCUCGUUUCAGGUGAAACUUCAUAAUCUUCCUCAUGACUUCCCUAUGUUGCAAAGUUCUAUCUAUUGUAGCUGCCCGAGAAGCACCAGCUAAGUAGGGUAGGUGAAUGGAAGGAUCUUGACCAUAAAACGCUUCAUAAGGGGUGGUUUUAAUGGCUGAGUGGUAGGUGGUAUUGUACCGCCACUCUGCCAAAGGUAGCCAGGUCACCCAAUUAAAAGGCUUUUCACCAGUCAUACACCUUAGAUAGCUUUCUAAAAAUUUGCUAAGGAUCUCUGUCUGGCAAUUAGUUUGGGGAUGGUAGGCAGUAGACAUCUGGAGUUUGGUGCCUAAGUGCCUAAAGAGCUCUUGCCAAAAGUUACUAAUAAAAACCCUGUCCCUGUCAGACAUAAUUGACUUGGCAUACCAUGAAGUUUGUAGACUUGGGUUAGAUAUUCUUGUUCUACUGUCAAAGCAGUGAAGGGAUGAGCCAAGGCAAUGAAGUGGCCAUACUUGGUUAGCCUAUCCACCACUACUAGAAUUGUGGAUUUCCCCUUGGAAGUAGGCAAGCCCUCUACAAAAUCCAUACUUAUGGUUUGUCCAAGCUCGUUCUAGUAUGGGAAGUGGUUGCAACAGCCUUGGAGAAGCUGAAUUAUCAACUCUGCAUCUCUGACAUGUAACACACUUUCGAACUCAUCUUUUCACAUCCUUGGAAAGCCCUUUCCAGUACAAUAGGCCAGAUAUUCUAUGCCUAGUGGCAUGUAUGCCAGAAUGGCCUCCCAAUGAACUACAAUGGAAAAGAUCAAAUAUGUGCCUCCUGAGUUUGUCAUUGUGUCCCACCACAAAUUUUCCCAACCUUCUAAGUAACCUACCAUCCCAAGAAUACUUAAGGCGAAGCUGGGGUUGCUCUUGGAGUUCUUGGCACAACUGCUGCAGUUUGAUGUCUGUUCCAUAAAAAGUCACAAUUUGAUCCCAUAGCUCAGACCAAGAAGGGCUUAUACUCCCCACACACUAGAAAAAUUAGUGAUUCUGCUCAUAAAACUUUCUUAACAAGGCAUCUGCCACUAUAUUUUGGACUCCUUUUCUAUAAGAAAUAGAAUAAUCAUAACCCAACAUCUUAGCAACCCAUUGUUGUUAAUAGGGGGUAAUUUCUUCUUGCUCAGACAGAAACCUUAAGCUUUGGUGGUUUGUUUUAAUCUGGAAGUGUCUCCCAAUCAGGUAAGGAUUCCACUUUUUGACUGCUAAAAGCACUACUAGCAUUUCCUUGUCAUAUGUGGACAGAGCCUGAUGUUUGACUCCCAAGGAUUUGUUGAAAAAGGCUACUGGUUUUCCCUUGUCCACUCGCAUUUGUCUCCACACAAAAGAUCUCUUAGAAAUUAGGCAAAGCCAAGACUGGUGCUUGAUAGAUGGCUUCCUUAAGCUGUUCAAAGGUUGUCUGUGCAAGCUCAGUCCAUUUCCAUACAACAUCCUUCUUCAACAAAGUAGUGAGAGGCUUGGCCAACAAACCAUAUCCCUUGAUGAACCUUCUAUAAUAACUUGACAAGCUAAGGAAGCCACUCAGUUCCCUUACAGAUUGUGGAGUAGACCAACUGAGAACACUCUUCACUUUUACCUUAUCCAUGCUAACUACUCCCCUAGAAAUAAUGUGUCCUAGAUACUUAACUUGAGUUGCUCCAAAGGUACACUUAGUUCUUUUAGCAUAAAGCUGGUUGAACCUCAAAAAUUGUAACACUUCCUACAAAUAAGCCAAUUGGUCUAACCAGUUUUUGGAGUAAACAAGUAUAUCAUCAAAGAAUACUAGGACUGACCUCCCCAAUAGUUGUCUAAAGACUGAGUUCAUUAGUGAUUGAAAGCUGGAGGGAGCAUUGGUCAAGCCGAAGGGCAUGACCAAGAAUUCAUAAUGGCCUUCAUGUGUUUUAAAGGUUGUUUUGUGCAUAUCCCUCUCCCACAUUCUUAUCUGGUGAUAGCCUGAUCUCAAGUCCAACUUAGAAAAGAAAUUUGGCUGGCCUAGUUCAUCAAGAAGUUCUUCAAUGAAAGGUAUAAGGAACCUAUCCUUAAUGGUCGGUUGGUUGAGCUGUCUGUAGUCAAUGCACAGCCUCCAAUUGCCAUUUUUUUCUUCACCAUCACCAUAGAGGAAUCAAAAAGACUGUUGCUAUCACGAAUUAUGCCAGUUUGCAACAUUUCUUGUAUGAGUUUUUCAAUUUCUGUCUUCAGUACUGCAAGGUACCUCUAUGGCCUUAUUUUGACUGCCUUUGUUUCAUCUAUCAAUGGGAUCCUAUGAUCAUGUAACCGAUUAGGAGGUAGUCCUUUAAGAGUUUGGAAUACAUCCUCAAACUCAUUGAGUAAGGCUUGCAAGUCUUGGGCAACUGAACUGAGGGCAUAGUAAGUGUAGUCUGAUCACAUGAAGUCAACAACAUAGGAUAUGGACCAUUUUCUACCAUGCUCAAGCAUUUGGAUAGUUGGCUGCUAUGAACAAUUUGUAAGGAUCCUAGUAUAGUGCCUUGGAGAAUACAACAUUGUCCCAUGUAAUCAAAUUGCUUAAUCAAGCUUAAAAAAUUCCAAAUAACGAAACCAAGGGACAAGAUCCACUGAAUACCCAACACCAGGUCACACCCUUUAAUUGGAAAAAUCAGAAAAUCAGUUAUGAAGUUAUAACCUUGUGCUUUCCACUGGACAACUCUACACAAUCCCUGAGUUGACAAUUUAACUCCAUUAACCACCAUCAUCCUUAGUGUACUUGCCUUUUCCAUUGCCAAAUUCAACCUUUUAGCCACUUUGGAGUCCAUAAAAUUGUGUGUACUCCCUAAGUCAACCAGGACAAUCACCUCAGUUUGGUCAAUGAAAGUUGAAAAUCUCAUAGUGUUGUGCCCCUAUGAUCCCUGAAGAGCAUGUAAAUAUAGCAUUGGAGUAGGAGUUUCAGUUUUCUGGUCUGUUGUUUCCAAUUGUUCAGGACAAUAUUGAAAAUCCUCAUAUGUUGGACUUUUAGCAUCAGUGUCUUGAUCAACUUGUGGUUCAAUGAUGAGUUGAUACAACUGAGAUUUGGAACAUUUGUGCCCUGGUGUAUAUUUAGAACUACACUGGAAACAAAGGCUUUCCCUCAUUCUGUCCUCCAACUCAGCUUGAGAUAGAGAUUUAGAGGGAGUUCGCUGCCCCAAAUUACUCCCCAUGGACCCCUUAUUGUAAAUGAACCACCAAUACCAUGAUGUACCUUAGGAGAGGGAAACAAGGGUUUGAGAGGACUUGCCCUACCACUUACAAUUAACCCCUUCCUAAAGGGCCCCAACACAAUACUCUCAACCUGCCUAACCAAAUUAUAACCCUCAACCAAGGUUUAGGGCUUGAACAAUCGAAGGUACUGCUCAAUCUCAGGUUUUAAAUUACUGGUGAAGAUACUUAGUGCAUAUGCCUCAGGUAAACAGAGCUGGUUUAACAAACUUACAAAUCCAUCAUGGAAUUGAUCAACUGAUCCUUGUUGCUUAGAGACACAAGCUUAGCCAUAAGAUCAAGGAAAGAGUCAGAUCCAAAAUAUUCCCUCAAACCCUUAGCAUACAACUCCCAAGUCAACUGGUGCAGGCCUCCUUGCCUCUGCACAAAAAAUUGGUGCCAGUCUAAUGCCUUCCCUUCUAAAUGCAGCAUAACAACUCGAACCUUAGCAUGAUCUCCCACCCCUCAACUUCAAAAUACUGUUCUAACUUAGACCACCACCCUCUAAAAUUUCCCCCAUAAAAAUGAAGACAAUUCACUUGAAACGGAGUACUCACAAAAUCCAAGGUUCCCCCUCGAGAGGACACGCCAUUAUGCCCUAGAUCUGACAUAGGAGGCACCACUAGAUGCUCCUUUGCUGGAAAGCCAGAAGAAGAUCCCCUAAAAUCCCUUUCCCUUCGUUAGAAACCAGUCCAGUAACAGUAAUAUGAGUAGUUUGCCUAAAAUAUUGUUCGAAUAAAGAAUGGAGCUCAGAUCGUACCUCAAAACGAACCUCAGACUUGAUUCCUUCUUGGAAGUCCUUCAAACGCAUAUCAAUCCUCACAUCCAACUGUGUAAACUCAACUUGCAACUGAGCAAGCUCGUUUUGCAUUACCCCCAUUUCCUUCUACAAUCUAGUGGUAACGCCCUCGAUGGCCAUGAGAAUCAGCUGAGCUCUAACACCUUUGUCACGAGACAGAUAUGGAAGAAGAAUAUAAUAGAAGCAAAGAAGAAAAGAAAGAGAGAUUUGAGAGAGAAAUGAAGAAGAAGAUACUGAAAAUCUAUUUUGAAAUUUCAUAACUGCUUUCCUCUUCCAAUUGGUACUAAAAGUAACAAAAUAAUGGAGUUGGACACCUGACAGUAACAAUUACUCCGACCGCAUCGUUUCAUUAAACGGUGUUCCUAUCAAAAUGAAUUGUUUAAGCGUGAAUGUUAAUCCCCUUAGCCAAAACGCACCACACAACUAAAACUAGUAAUAAAACGUAGUGUUUACAGUUAAAAGAAAUAACGACAAUAACAAAAAUAUGAAAUGACCGUUGAAGCUUUGUUCCAUAACAGACUCAAUGAAAAAAACUCAGUAGUUGGAGAACUAAAAUAAAAGUAAAAGAAAUAUUACGGUGACUAUUUUGUAAUUUACCUUUUAUGAAACAAUACUAUAUGGAGAAGCUUGAUCUGAUCUAUGAUCCAAUAUUCAAAGGCCCAUUUCAGUUGAAUUACUGAUGACGUUUGAACUAUGUACAUGUUGCAUCUCUCUCUGACUCAGCUUUCACUAUUUCAGGCUCUCUCUCUCUUGCGUGUCGUUUUCCUUUCAACCUCUGCCUUCUUUUCCAUUAUUUUUCACCCUUGUUUUCAUCUUCUUUCCGCUGACUUCUCGGGUAAAUCGGUACUAGAUCUCUGUGGUCUAUUGCCGGAAUUUUCGUUCGGAUUCCGGCGACCCCAGUCUUCGAUCCUAUUUUCUCUUCAAUCCAGAAUGAAUCCCAAGUAGUAAGUUUUCUCUUUAUUCGUACUUAAUAUAUCUUUUUUAUUUGUAUGUUUAGAUUAAGCCUUUAUCUGUUUGUUUAUUUAUUUAUGUUUCUUCUUUUAUAAUUUGGUCACCUUAAAAAUACAUGAAUCUUAUGUUUAUCAAUCAUUGUCGGUGUUAAAAGUAAACCCUGGAUAUAAUGCGAUUUUGUUUUAGAUCUGUUGAAAGGAAUUGAUGUGUUAUUUCCUAUUAUGUUUCUGUUGCUAUUAUUGUCUUAUUUGCAGCUGGGAUUUCUUUAUUGAAUUUAAUUUUUAAAAAAGGUGGGAGCUUUGAUGUGUUCUUCAUUAUGCAUAUGUUGCCUCUAUGUUAUCCAGGUGCUGUCACAUAGAUUGAUUUAAGUGGAAAAUAGGCUCUUGAUAAUAUAAGGGAAGUUCAUAGAUUAAAUGAGAGUACGAUUCAAACCAUGCCCAUUGCCGUCCGAAACAAGGGAGCGCCUUAAAACUGGGCAUUCAAAGUACACAACAUAAUCAGCAGUAGAGUUCCUGAACUGGAAACUAAAAUAAAAAAGAAAAGCUAACAUCACUUGCCCUUUCUGGUAAGUGGACAAUUACGGGUGUUAUUUUUCAUAGAGUGGUGUAGGAAACAUUUACUCGGUCUAAUUUGACAAUGACUUGGGAUUAUAAGGGUUCAUCUUUGGGCAAUUAAUUUGGUGGUCCAACUUUUUGUUACUGACUAGUUUGUGGUUUCUGAAAAAUGUCUAUGUUUGGGAAUUGGGGUUUUGGCACAUUUGUAGAAACCAACUUUAUGCUAUGCAUGGUAUAAUUGAAGAUGUUCUGUUUUUGCAUCAUUGAAAAGUAUUUUAUUAUAAUCUGGUUGCACUCUUUCGCAGCGACUAUCUGUUCAAACUUUUGCUUAUUGGAGAUUCUGGUGUUGGAAAGUCUUGUCUCCUUUUGAGAUUUGCUGUAAGUUUCUAGACUCAAAUUGGCAUUUGAAAGUAAAUGUCUUUACUUUUAAGUUGCACAUUAAUAGAUGUUUAUAUGAUUACCUUCAAUCUUUACAUUCGUAUUUGAUGUUUAGAUUGCACUAGUAAUUGAUUAAAAAGUCUCAUUGCAUAUGUACCAUGCAUAUUGGGAGUAAAAUUUAUACCUUCAUGUGAUGACACGGUUUCAUGAUUUGACUGAGUACAUUUUGGCAUUAGAAUCUUGUUUUACUUUUAGUUGUAUAUCUGGAUAUUUUCAGAGGUUUAUGUGGGACUAAUUAUUGAACCUGAUCAAUUUAUGUAAUUUCUUUGAUGCAGGAUGAUUCAUACAUAGAUAGUUACGUAAGCACCAUUGGGGUUGAUUUUGUGAGUAAACCAGUCCUUGGUACUAAUUUCUGAAUGCCAAAUUUAUGGCAAUUAUUUUAAUUUCUUGUCUUCUGGUUUUCUUUUUGGGUAGAAAAUACGCACUGUGGAGCAGGAUGGGAAGACCAUUAAACUUCAAAUUGUAUGUUUUAGCAUGCUGUACUGCUAUUUCCUUUUUUCCUUUUUUUGUUUAACAUUUCUGUGUGUUUUCAGUUUAACUUUGCGUUUUACUAGUUAGUUUGCUCUUUGGUUAAAUGUACAGUGGGACACUGCUGGACAAGAAUGAUUUAGGACAAUCACUAGCAGCUACUACCGUGGGGCUCAUGGCAUAAUUGUGGGUGAUCUUUUCCUUUCUAGUUUUUCUCCUUUCAGUUCCAUUUUUGUGGCUUCCACUGCUUAUUUAUGCUUCUCAUAAACAUCUUUUCUUAUAUCUUUUUCUUUCCCAUUUACUGGUGGCUCCCUUAUUAGGUUGUUUAUGAUGUGACAGACCAAGAAAGCUUCAACAAUGUCAAGCAGUGGCUGAAUGAAAUUGAUCGUUAUGCUAGUGAUACUGUUAACAAACUACUGGUUGGAAACAAGUGCGAUCUUAUAGAAAACAAAGUCUUGUCAUACAAGGCUGCUAAGGUAUUAUGCUAGUUUCACGUGUUAAGCGUAAAUUAUUUUCUUUUGAGGAGAACCUCUGCAGCCAGAUUAUUUAUGGUAGUGGCACCAUGAUCUACAAAUUCUAAUUGUUGGUGUUUUGCUGCAUUUUCAUCCAUUCUUCCAUAUGGCUGCUUUUCUUCCUUCAGGCGUUUGCAGAUGAAGUCGGCAUACCUUUUAUGGAAACCAGCGCAAAAGAUUCCAUGAACGUGGAACAGGCUUUCAUGGCCAUGGCUGCUUCCAUCAAGGAUAGGUAUAUCCAUAUUCCUUUUCCUGAAUAGUAGUUUUAGUAGCAUCAAAACGCCGUUACCAUUCUAGAAGUAUGUACAGUUGAAUGGCGUGACUAGGCUGUUUGUGUUUAUCAUUACAGAACCUUCUAGAUGAACAAACUAAUUGUCACGAAAUUUACCACAAAGUCUUGAUGCCUAAUGAUUUCCAAUUACUUUGGUGCCUCUGAAUGCAGAAUGGCGAGCCAACCGGCCAUGAACAAUGCAAGGCCUCCGACCGUACAGAUCCAGGGACAGCCUGUUGCACAAAAGAGCGGCUGCUGCUCUUCUUAAAAAGAAAAAGAAAAAAAAGAGUCAAUUAUGUGUUUAGAUUUUACAUGUUUCUUAAGUCAUCAGUUGCAAACUUAUUUCUUAUGGAUCAAAUCUCAUUUAGAGGAUCUCAUUCAUUUCUACACAAAUGCUAAUGUGAAGGGUUGUACAACAUAUGAUGGUUGGUUAAAUUAUACAGUAUCUGUUGGCUAUACUUUACGUGUUAAUUUGGUCUUCGAUAGCAGAAAGUGUAACACCCCUUACCUGUAUCCAACACCGGAAUAAGGUACGAGGCAUUACCAAAACACAUACACUUGUAAACGUAUUUAACCGAGUUAUAAAAUUUCAUCUAAAUAAAAACUUUCAAAAUAAUUAACAUGUUUCUAUAACUUUUCACAAUAUAUCCUCAAAAUAUUAUAAUCAUAAUAAUUAGGGCCUACGAGACCCGGUACAUACUCAUACAAUUCAAUGCUUCAUUUCCAUUUCAUUUAAUUCGCAAUUUCUCAUGCUCACAAUUUAGAUCAUAUCACUAGCAAUUUCCAUUUAAUUCACGUACAAUUCAAUGUCACUAAGAUUAACACUAAUACGUAUUUACCAUUUAACUCAACGUUUAUCGAUUAUAUCAUUCAAUAACACAUUUAUGAAAUUCUUAAUUUUGCAAUGAAAAUAUCACUUUAGCUUAAAUAACAACAUCAUCCUGGUAUAAAUACACUACCACUUAUUCAUUUACUUUAAUUCAUUUGGGCCCAUUUGUCACUUACCAUCCUUAAUCAAAUUAGGGAACGGUUACGGAAAAUUGAGUACUUCAUUUUCACUUUGACAUAUGACCUCUUAUCACUUGUCCUUGAUCAGAUAAGUGUGGCUAGGCUACCACUUAUCACUUUGCCACUUGAUCAGAUAAGUGUAGCUGAAGCUACCACUUAUCACUUUAUCACUUGAUCAGAUAAGUGUAGCCACUUAUCACUUUGUCUCUUGAUCAGAUAAGUGUAACCACUUAUCACUUUGUUUCUUGAUCAGAUAAGUGUAGCCACUUAUCACUUUGUCACUUGAUCAGAUAAGUGUAGCUAAAACUACCACUUAUCACUUUGUCACUUGAUCAGAAGUACUCAAAUCCGGCGUUCCACUUAAUUUGAUCAUUUAUUCGAUUUUCACAUUUUUAUUUUAUUCUCAUUUCAACAAUAAAUACAUUUCAUCAUACAUUGUAUAAUUCAUGAAAUUAACAUUUAAUCAUUAAAUUUCAGCCAUAUGAACUUACUAUUUCAUUAUCUUCCACACUUGUUUCCUAUGCACAUUACACAAGAUAUAAACAUAUCAUUCAACCAUAGUUGCAAGCUAGUGUAUUGAAACAUAACUCUUUUUGGAACUAAUCACAUGAUAAACCAUUCAUGACAUUAUUUCAUACCAAAUCAUAUACCGAAUAUACCAUACACACAUGCUAUGAAACUUUAUUUUCACACAUGAGCUUAAACCAUGUCCAAUAAUGCACAAAUUUAAGCAUCAUUUCUAUUUCAUCAUCUAUCAAUUAUAAUCAAACAUAUGACCAAUUAUACACAAAUCAUUCAUAUAUUUCUCAAUUUUCCUCCUCCUCCUCUCCAUUCCACAUCCUUAAUGUGUAUAACACACUUAAACAACAUUAACCAUAAUUUCAAUAUUCACUAACAUGUAUAUUCAAAGCUGUUUAUCCGAGUCAGACUCACUAAAUUAUUUUUACCCAGAGCUACAGAGCUCCAAAUUAAGAUCCGUUAAUUUUCCCUGAAACUAGACUCACAUAUAUUCAUAGCAUAAAAUUUUCAGAAUUUUUGGUUGAGCCAAAUAAUACAGUUUAUUCUUUAAAGUUUCCCCUGUUUCGCUGUCUGACAGUUUCGACCACUCUUCACUAAAAAUUAAUUAUCUCAUUGUACAGAAUUCAGAUGAUGUUUUCGUUUGUUUCUUCUAAAAAUAGACUCAUUAAGGAUUAUAACCAUAUAAAUUAUAACUCAUAAUCAUUUUUUUAAAAUUUUUAAUGAUUUUCCAAAGUCAGAACAGGGGAACCCGAAUUCAUUCUGACCUUGUCUCACAAAAUCUAUUAUAUCUCAUGAUUUACAAUUCCAUUGCUCACAUCGUUUCUUUUAUAAAAAACUAGACUCAAUAAGCUUUAGUUUCAUAUUUUAUUCAUCCUCUAAUUCAAUCUCUACAAUUUUUGGUGAUUUUUCAAAGUUACACUACUGCUGCUGUCCAAAACUGCUUUAGUGCAAAAUGUUGAUUUCCAUUUUGCCCCAAAUUUCACAGUUUAUACAAUUCGGUCCUUUCUCAAUUAACCCCUCAAUUAAUCUAAUUUUCUCUAUUAUUACUUUACUAGGCAUUAUAAGUUGUUACACAACUAUUGAAAUUCAGAAUUUCCACAUAUAACUCUAUCUUCAAACUCUUUUACUAUUAGGUCCCAAACAUUCACUUUCUAUUCAAUUCUUUCAAUAAAAUCAGCAUAUGAACAAUUUAAAGCUCUAAUUUCAUGAUAAAUCAUCAUAUACUUCCAGCACAUAUUCAUAUCAACUUUCAACUUCUUUCAUAAAAUCAAAAACUAAUGAAUUUAACAAGUGGGCCUAGUUGUAAAAGUCAUAAAAAUACAAAAAUUUCAAGAAAUAGUCAAGAAUUGAACUUACUUGUAAUAAAAAUAUGAAGAACCAGCUUGAAGAAGCCCUUCCAUGGUGUUUUAGCUGAUGAGAAUUCAGAAAAAUGAAGAGAAAUCUAGAUAAUUCCACUUGGGUCCUAACUUUAUUAAGCAAAUUUUGCAAUUUUCCAAUUUUGCCCUAAUCUCCUUACUUUCUGCUGAUUCAUGCCCCUGCCGCCAGCCCAAUAGACCUUGGGUCUAUNNNNNNNNNNNNNNNNNNNNNNNNNNNNNNNNNNNNNNNNNNNNNNNNNNNNNNNNNNNNNNNNNNNNNNNNNNNNNNNNNNNNNNNNNNNNNNNNNNNNNNNNNNNNNNNNNNNNNNNNNNNNNNNNNNNNNNNNNNNNNNNNNNNNNNNNNNNNNUAUUUAUAAAAAUAUUUAUGGCUCAGUUUAAAAUCCCCGAGGUCUUGAUACCUCAUUUCGAUUCUAAUUAUUUUAAUAUUUAUUUCUAGUGCACUAUUCACUAUUUCAAAAAUUUUCCUAACUUCAUAUUUAACUUAUACUUACUAAAUUAAUAAUAUUUUCUACCCAUUUGUCGAAUUUAGUGAUCUCGAAUCACCGUUCCGACACCUCUGAAAAUUCAAGCCAUUACAUUUUUUUUUCGUCGGAUUUGUGGUCCCGAAACUACUGUUCCGACUAAGCCUAAAAUCGGGCUAUUACAGAAAGCACUGCGAUAAAUCUUGGUAACCAACUACCAAUUUUCCUGAAUAUGAAGCCCGCUUUAGGAUACCAUACAUGUUUCUUAUCCAUCAAACUUUUCAACUUAUUAGAAUAUUCUUUAUUUUUUAAUUUCACAAUUAAAAAAAUUAUGAUUUUUAAUUUAGAAUUGUUAGUUAAAAAAUAUUGUGAUUUAAUUUUAAAAUAAAGAUAUUAUUGUGAUAAUUAUAAUUAUAUUCUACAAUUAUUAGUUUAGAAAUUUUGAUAUAAACAAAAAUUGUGUUAAUUUUAUUGAUGUAAAAUAGGAUUAUUAUUUUAAUAGAAUUCUAAGCAUAUUAAUUAUCACUUAAUUAAUAUCAAAGUUAAUUAUGUUAAUUAGUUAUUAUUUUAAAUAAUGUUUCUUUGCAUGAAUUAAUGGAAAUUUUUUAGUUUAGGCUUUUAAAAUUUUUUAAAUUUUAAAUUAGUAAAGGUAAAAUUACACUUUGGCCCUCCUAAAAAUGAUAAAAAUUAGUUUAAUCCUUUAAAAAUUAUAAAGGUAUAGGUCAUUCAAGCAAUGAAAUUGUGUUUAUACUAUCAUAGAAAUUAAAUUUUAAUUUCGGUCUCCCCUAAAAGAAUUUUCUGACUUUGUCUCUGAUUGUAUUUUUCUUAUGAAAUAUUAUAUCAUUAAAAAAAACCGGUUAAGAAGGAAACGAGGAAAGAAACUAAACCCAAGCCAAUAGGCUUACCCAGAACACCUAGUUCUAACUCUUCUCAUUAUCACCAUUACAAUCUAAAACUAAAAUAUUUGCAAUAGGAGGACAAAAAACAAAUUCGGAUUAGUUCGCUCGUGAUAAAACCGCCCUCGCUAGAGAAUGAACAACUUUAUUAGCAUUUCUACUAGUCCAAUAGAAGGACAAAGAAUUAAACUAAGAACUAAGAUUGAAUCCGUAUUUAAUCAACAACCUCAAAUUCAAAAAUUAAAAAAUGCCAUGAGAAAGGGUAGCUCAAAGUCGACAGUUAUCAGUUUCCAGUAUGAUAUCCUCCUCAAGCCAAGAUCGAAGCACUUGCAUGUUUUUGUAUGUUGAAUAUGUUAAACUUUAAUUAUUAUUUGAAAUUUUUGUAUUAUAAUAUUUGAAUUGACAAGUUAAUAUAUUUUAAUUAGAUUCAAUAAUUUAAAUAAGUAUUAUUUUAUGUUGAUUACUACAAUUAUAAAUAUAACAUUUAAAAGACUAAUUAAAUAUUAAAUACGUAAAAUCAUAUGCAAUACAUGUGAUAUUAGAAGUUAAUAGUUGAAAAGUUAUUUCAUAUGCCACCUAGGAUUAUACCUUAAAAUGACAUAUCAAAUAUUAUACGACAAAAUUUAAGAAAAGUUAAAAGUAAAAAAAGAAAAGAAAAAAAAAACGAGGGUGUUUCUGCUCCAAAAACCAAUGAUUUAAAACAAUGGCAAUGCAAAAUCAAAAGGAUGCCAAAUUCUCGUUGUCGUGCAAAAGGUUCAUUAAAGACUGAAGGGAUUCAAACAUAAGUAAAAGGUUUUACAAGUUCAAUAGUUAUGGGUAUGAAUUGUUUUUGGCUUUGCUUUUCUUUUUUUGUAAUGAUUUAGAUUGUUUUGUUGUUUCUUUUGAUCAUUGGGUUAUUAUAUUGAUGAUUUUGGGUUUUAGGGUUUUAUUAAUUGUGUGAGAUAUAAUAUAUUUUGAUUGAAUAUAUAUAAUAUAUAAUAUAUAAUUCUCAAUGAUUUUCUGUUGCAUUUUACUUUUAACCUUUUGAGAUUUGUUUUUUUUUUCAAUCUUAAGUUAUGUCAAGCAUGUCUGAAAUUAACUAUCUUAUUAAUGGUAAGACCUGAUUGAUAUAAUUUAAAAUUUAAGGACCAAUAUAAAACUAGAGUCAUAAUUUGAUGACAUUUGGUGCAAUUUACUGUAAUUAGUAAAAUAAAUAAAUAACUUCUUUGGAAGAAAAAGUUUACCCUAGUAAUUUUGUUUUGGGACAUGGUAAGAGGAUAAUGAAAAUGUCAUUAAUAAUUGUUAUUUUAGUACCUUCUAAACAUGAAUAGUUCAAUUUAAUCCUUUUUGUCUUGUUUUAAAUAAAAAAUUGUAAUUUUGACCCCUUCAAAAUUAAAAUGCCCAAUUUAAUCCUUGAGUAUGCUAUAAAUCUAGUUAUUCUGUUUUAAAUCUAUUUCUAAAAGAAUAAAUAGAAUUUUCAUGUCAAAUUUGCAAUUGAAGAAAGAUGUUAUAACCGUAGAUAUAGCAUUUUCCAUUAUAUUAAGGUUUAAAACGAAAAAAGGAUGUCGUUUGCUAUUGCGGAUUAUGAACAGUCGGAGCAAACAAGUACGAUAAAUGACGAUGAAGACUAAGGUCGUGACUGCAAAGAUUACAGGGACUGUGAAGGAUGAAGAGCCGUUUGAUUGUGUACAAAAUAGAUAAGAUGUUGUUGCCUAGGGAGGGAGUUGUUCAAGCCAAUGGAAGCAGCCGAGGCACCACAGCCAUCCAAAUCCAACCACAAGACAGCAGCAACAGCACCCGCAGAAAGUGAUGCUAAAUACUUGCACAUAAUAACCAAUCCAAGCACUGAAGCACAUAAAGCAACUCCAAGAUUACUUACUAGACAAAGCCACACAUUAUCUUUGUAAUCCUAAUACUGAAUCACUAUUAACCCCUGCUCAGUUUUCAGUUUCUUUGCUAUGCUACGGAUGGCGUAAAAAUGAAAAUGUCAUCAAGCCUAUCAUUGCUAGGGGAGUUGCCACCGUAAACUAGAAGCCCAAGUUGGCCAUCCCUUACGCCGCUGGAAAAAGCACACCAUCCACGAGGCCCGGGAUGAGUUUCUAAACCCCGCUCAUCCUCCCACUUCUUCCACACCAAUGUGUCUGCGUCCAAACUGUAUACCUCUCCAGAAAAUUUCCCAGCACCAAGGUGACCUAAAUCACUAGGAUCCACUUCCCCGCCGUAUAUGAUUAUGCAUUUGCCAAUCCCAACUGUAGAAAAUACACUUCGGGCCGUUGGUUUCUCCCCACUUGUCUCGACUUGGGACCAUUGUCCUUGUACUGGAUCAAAGCAAUGCACAUCAUCCAUUUCCACUCCAGAGAAGCCAUAAACCACCCAUAUUUUCCCUUGGACGACAGCCAGUCCGGGGCCACCUCUUCCCUUGCAACUGUCUCCCGGGGUUGGAUAUUUGAUCCAUUUUUGGCAAGCAACAUCGUAAGCCCAUAGAUCGUUAAGCCGGCCAGAAACACCACAGCCUCCAAAGACAUAAACAUGUCGGUCAUCAGCUGUCAUGGAGUGGUAGCUCCGAUGAGCCGGGCCACUGUCACCGUUAGAAAGUAAGACCCACUUGUUCGUACAAGUAUCAAAAGAAUAUAACUCAUCAAGCUCCUUGUGUGCAGAAUCCCUACCACCAAAUACAUAGAUGGUUUCACUAACAGUGGCCAUUGUGACACCAACACGUGGAGGCGGCACAUCACCAGUUACAUCGGCAACAGACCAUGUUAAGUUAUUGAGAUCAAAUACAUAGAGCUUGUUGUCAACCGGGACUCUUGGGGUGAACUCACCUCCAAAGACAUACGCCUUUUGUCCCACAAUGGUUAUGGCGUGUGAGCUUCUGGCUCCAGGACCAGUUCCAUUCUGGUUAAGCUGAUGCAGAUUUAUAAAUCCAUGGCGUAAAACUAGAGGUUAAAAUCUCAUAGCCUACCACUUUUAAAAUAAUAGAGUUGAAAAAAAAAAGGAAAAAUGAAGAUGAAUCUUAGCCUACAAGACUAUAAUCGACAAAAUAUAACGGCAAAAAGAAAGGCACCCAACUUUAAAAUAAUGGAAAAGAAUCAAGAGAUCUCUUCAUAGUGUAGAUCUUAUCCUGUAGAUAGGCCUAAUUUUCUUAAUUCAUUCAGCUGCUCUUGGCUAAAUUGUUUCAAGGGAUGAUUAGUUUUCCAGGCAGAAAAUUAUGGUAAUAAUCACUAAACCUCUUUCAUGUAUUUGCAAUUACCUCAAAAAAAAAAAUCACUCCACAAAGGCAGCCGAGAUUUCCAAGAAACCAAACUCAAAUAUUGGGUUGGAAACCCAGGUAUAAUAAGUUCAAAAAGAAAACAAACAAAAAACAUGUACUCAAACUUAGGAUUUAGGAAGUGUUAGUUUACCAUUAAAUCCAGCAAAAAUUUACAUAAAUUUAACUGAGGAUAUGAUGAAAGAGAGAAAUUCAACAGCAAAAAUAAGCCCAGAAUUUUGGUUGUUUUAACUUCUGUAGACAUGAAUUAAAGAGGAACAGAGAACAAACCUUGACCCAUUUCCCUUUAACCUCAGCCAUCAAUAGAAAAAGUGAAGGAUUUAUACUUGGUAUUCAAAGAAAAUGUCACUGUUGGACCUGGAGAUUGGAGUUUUCUGGGCUAUCACAGAAUCACAUCCAGGUAUUUAUAUCCGUGAUGCAUUCAAUUUAAGAUAUUUUAAAAAUAAGAUGUCAAAUUGAAUUAUUAUAAGAAAUAGAUCUUUAUUUAAUCAAAAAUUGGAAUUUAAAAAAAAUGAAUUUCUAAUAGAAAAAAUUUCAAUUAAAAAGUGGUUUUAAACAUUAAAAAUAUUUAAAUUCAAUCUUAAAUUAAAAUAAACAUUAUAUAUUAAUUUAGAGAACUAAAUUGACUUAAAAUUUAUGUAUGUAACAUCAGUUUUUACUUAAAAAAAAAGAGUUGUGACCUUACCCAGUAGCUUUCAUUUAAAAUUAAUUUAUUAGUACUUGAAUUAAGAAAAUAAUGUGAAAUGAAAUAUUUAAAUUCAGAUACUCUUGAAAGACAACUUCCAUGCUGCUUGCUGACCAUUGAUUUAAAUUUUUUAAUUCACUAUAUAGUUGGGUUAGGUGUGCCAUAUCCUCCCAAUUUUUAUAUUUAAAAUAUCCAUUAAAAAUACCUUAUUUCACUAUCAUACUAUUCAUUUCAGUGUAUAUAAACAUACUAAGAAAAUGACAUUCUUAUUUAUGAGUUGGAGAAAGAUUACGAAUAAUUUUAAUCAUUUUGUAAAUACAAAAAUUAUAAUAAAAUUAUUAAAAAUUACUUACGGGGUAGCUCUAAUUUUUAUUUAUAAUAUUAAAGCAUUUGUUUUGAUUAUUUAUAUUUGAAAUAAAAAUCAAAGUCAAGUACUAGAAAAUGCCCUUGGGGAAAAUUUUAAUAUUAAGGUAUGGUAGAUGCUUUGGGAAAUAAAUAUUUUGUAAUUAUUCAAAUCUGGCCAAUAAUAUUUUUUUUAAAAUGUUAAAAUUUUAUUUAUUUAUUUAAAAAACUAACUUUGAAUCAAUAAUAAAUUUUAAAGCAAACAUAACAUUGUUAGAAAUCUUUAAAUACAAAUUUUCAAUUGUAUUGUAAUUAUGUUUAACCUAUUUAAAAAACUUUUCUAAAUAACAAGUUUUAAUUUGUUUGUAAACAUUUUUAUAAAUUACUUUAUAUAUUAUUAGAUUUUGUGAGGUGAAAGAAAAAUAUAAUAUUAACAGAAUCAAUAAUUGAGUUAUAGGUGAAAUAAUUAGAGUUGUUUGUGGGUCGGACCAGGUCGGGUCAAGUAAAAAUUUUACGCCCGUUUUCUAGUCUUGGACUCGAAAAAUGUUAAAUUUUUGCCUAAGCUCGACCUGGAUAAAAAUGCUAAAACCUAAGCUUGGUCCAGCCUGCUCGUAUUAAAUUUUUUUAUAUAGAAAGAAAUUUAAAAAAUAUAAUACAUCAAAUACACCAAAAAUAUUAAAAUAAAUGUUUCCCAACAAACGUAAAUAUAUAUACUUAAAUAACACUAAGAUAAGUGCAACUUAGCAAGCAAAUACAUCUGCAUUAGUAGCAAAAUUAAUAAUAAAAUAAGAGUUAUACAAUAUUUAAAUAAUAACAAUAAAAUGGUAAUAAUAUAAUAACGAAAUAAUAGCAAAACAAUGAAAAAGCAGUGGCAAAAUAGGAAAAAAAUAGCAUCGAUUUUUUUUGCAAAUUCGAUUCGGGCUAAGCCCAAGCAAAAAAAAGCUUACACAAGGCCUGGCAUGUUUAGAAAACGGGUCAUAUUUUUGUCCAAACUAUAUUUUUACCCAAACUCUCCCACUUUUCGAACUGGUCUUCGGGUCAGGCCAAGUCUAGAAAUGAUUAACUACUUUUGAUUAAAUAGUCGAUUGAGUCUUAGCUCGAUUGGUAUGGAUAUUUUUGUUAAUGUAAGAGGAAGUGAGCUCGAGUGUGCUGAAACGCAUUAUCCUCCUAUUUAUAGGUUGGGUGGGGCUAUGGGUAGUUUUAGGUAUUGUGUAAAAAAACAUAUAUGAUCAUAAUUUAUAAUGAGUUUGUUCAAAAAAAUCACGUAAUAAAAUUUAGAACUUUCAAUAAGGGGAUCAACAAGUACACUUGGACAAAUUUUUAAUAUGUUAUUUUAGUUCUACAACUUUUUCACUUUAAUCCUUAGUAUUUUUUUUUACUCUUAUCAUUACUGAGAAAAUGAUAUUUUUGAGUGACCAAAAUGAUAACGACCCAUAAGUUGGAUUACUAAAAUGAAAGUGUAAAUAUGAUAUGCCGUGUACAAUAAACUACCAUUAGGGAUUUAACUUAGCGCUUUAAAAGUUAGUGACAAAAUGGCGAAAAUUUUAUUUUGAAUGACCCAAAUAAAAACGCUUUAAAAAUUGAGUCACUACCUGAAUAAUUUACCCUAGAAAUUUUAGUAUCUGUUCAAAAUUUUUGCCCUUACAAAUUUUUGUAAUAGAAAUUUUGGCAUUCAUCAUUUGCAUUGUCAUUAAAAAUUAUUUUAAAUUAUACAAAUAUUUAAAAAUGAAAAAACUUGCAAAAACUAUAAAAGCUAUUUAAAAAUUUUAAAUUUUAUUUAAAAAUUUAUAAAAAUAUAAACUUGUAAAAUUCUUAAAAAUUGUAAAUAAUCGUUAAAAAAAUUAAAAAUGUAAAAAUUGUAAUAUACUUGAAAAAACUUCUAAAAAUUAUAAUAAUUUUUUAAAAACAUUUUUUUUACAAAUUUUAAUAAUUUUACAACUUUUUUAAUAUUUUAAUAAAUUUUAAAAAUUUUGCAAUUUCAUAUAUAUAUAUAUAUAUAUUAUUUUUUAGGUAAACUAUUAAAAUAGCCAAUUUUGUUUACCUCAUGUUAUAUUUUAGUCAUUUAUGUUUAAAAUUUAAUCAUUUAUGUUAUUGCGUUAUAACAUUUUAUUCACUGAGCCGUUAAUUGACGUUAAUGGUGUAACGGUAAGCUAAUGUGGCACGUUAAAUCAUCAUUUCAAACAAAAGUUUUAGGUUAAUUUAUACAAUCGCUCCCCAUAUUAUUUUGUUUUGAGUAAUUUAAUUUUUUUUUCUUUUAUAUUCUUUUAACUUUCUUUUUUUUAUUUAUUUUUCAUUCUCUUCUGCUUCUCUUGUUGUUUUCCUCCCUUCUUCAUUUCUUUUAAUGUAUUUUUUUCUAUAUUUUCUAUUUGUUAAAACUAGUCUCUAUGCUUUUAUUUUUUUGAACAAUUUAAUUUUUUUGAGUGAGGUGAGCUUGUGGACUAGUUUUAACAUAGAAAAACUAUGUUAAAAGAAAUGAAGAAAAGAGGUUAAUAGAGGGAGAAACAGAAGACAAUGGAAAAUAAAGAAUAAAAAAGUUAAAAGAACAUAAAAGAAAAAAAAUGUUCAAAAUGAAAAAACACAGGGACCAAUUAUAUAAUUUAACUUAAAUUUUUUGUUUGAAAUUAUGAUUUAACGUGCCACAUCAACUUUUCGUUACAUCGUUAACAAUAAUUAACGGCUCAAUGACUAAAAUGUUACAACACGAUAAUGUAAGUGCCUAAAAUGUAACAUUUCAAACAUAAGUGAUUAAAAUGUAACCUGAGUCAAACGGAAAGGACUAUUUUGAUAGUUUAUCCUAUUUCUUUUAGCGUACGGACCAAAGUAUCGUAGCUUGUGGAGUAGGAUAUUCUCUUGCAAGAAAGCGGCAGAACUAGGGUUUCGGCCGCGUAAUACAGUUGUAUAUAAACUCCUUAAACUCUCACUCUCGCAUAAGCAUUAAGCACCGAGGCACACACUAGGAGGCGACGAACUCUGAGGCGGAAAAGUUACACAAAGAUGGAGCAAACAUUCAUCAUGAUCAAGCCUGAUGGCGUCCAGAGGGGUUUGGUAAUGUUUCUUCUUCUUUCUCUCUUCCAAUUUUCGGUUUUUUUUUUCAGCUGUAUUAUUCUUUUAUCCGAUAGUUUGAUUCUCUUAACUGCUAGAAAUUACAAAUAAAAAACGAUAAAGAAUCUGUAGUCCUUAGUGAACUCUUGUAGUUAAGCUCGUAGAUCUAAUGUCUUGAGGCAGGGAAUAUUGGUUCAACUUAGCUAGGCUUCACAGAAUGAGUACUGUUGUUUCUGUUUCUUUUUGAAAUCUAUUCUUUUGCAUGCUAAGGCUAUAAAAUCAAAGACUUCGAGAGAUGAAUUCUUAAAAAAAAAGUAUUUAUUUGGGACAUAUGAAAGGUUCUAACGUUUUUCUGAUUUAGCACCUUAUUUUGUUGGAUUGUGGGUUAGAAAUGAGAAACUUGUGUUUCUUAUGGAGAUUGUUAUGUCUUUCAGGUUGGUGAAAUCAUUGGCAGAUUUGAGAAGAAAGGUUUCUAUUUGAAGGGUAAAUCCAUCGCUUUUCUAAUAACUUUCUCUGAUUUCUGUUAGUGUUUAUGUUAGAGAUGAUUGAAUGUUCACCAUACUUUUUGUGAUACUUGAAUUGAACAGACAAAAGUGGAUGUUCUUUUCUAUUUCUGUUGACAUUAUCGGCACUAUGUUACUUAUUUCACCUUGGAUGUGCCUAAUCUAGGUUUGAAACUCAUCACCGUGGAUCAAUCUUUUGCUGAGAAGCACUAUGCAGACCUCUCUGCAAAACCCUUCUUUAAUGGGCUCGUAGAGUACAUUAUCUCUGGUCCUGUUGUUGCUAUGAUUUGGGAGGGUAAGAAUGUUGUUACCACUGGUCGCAAGAUUAUUGGAGCCACAAACCCUGCUGAGUCUGCUCCUGGAACAAUCCGUGGUGACUUUGCAAUUGACAUUGGCAGGUAUAGAUAGUCCUCCUCUCUUUUACUUUCGAUGAUUGAAUACCUGUUUCAUUGAGUUUAGGCAUAUCUCUUAGCAUUUUGUUAUAUGCCCUUGAGCUGAAACUAGUUCAUAUCAGUAGUGUUGAAUUUGGUUGUUUUAUUUUUGCAGGAAUGUGAUUCACGGAAGUGAUUCAGUUGAGAGUGCUAGGAAGGAAAUCGCAUUGUGGUUCCCAGAAAGCCCUGUUAACUGGCAGAGCAGUGUUCACCCCUGGAUCUAUGAGUAGAUUUCAAAUUAAGCUGUUUCAGAUCAUGGCAUCCUUGUGUUUGCUUCUUGUUAGUGAACUUUUUUAUGAACUUUUUACUGAAUUACCUCUAGUUACUAUUUAAGAUGUUUGUUUGAUGCCAUUAUUUUUGUUCACUAAAUUAAUCAAGUUCUGAAACUCCAGCAACUGGGUAUUUUGGUUUGUAUGAAUAGAAUUUCGGUUGGAUUUGCCUAAUCUAGGUUUGAAACUCAUCAUUUCUCAUUCCACAUUGCAAAAUAGGCAUAAUAACUAGUCAAAGCACAUUGGUAGAGGAGGAAGUGUCAAAGUUUCCGCUAUUUUCAAUUAGUUUUAACAAUUUGUGGUUUAUAUAAAAUUUAUAUUAAAUAUAAUAUGAAGUGUUGAGGAAUGGGAAAUCUUUGAUUCUUUUAAGCCUACUAAGGGCAUUCGCUAGGGUGAUCUUUUUAUCACCUUAUUUAUUUGUCUUGAGGAUGAAUCACCUUGGACAUUUAACCAGCAGUCUAGUGGAAUGGUAUCCUAUCAAAUUAUCUCGUCACGGGCCAAAGAUUUCUCAUCUUUACGUAGCGGACAGCCUUGUUCUCUUUGGCAAGGUUGACUUCUGUCAAGCAGAAAUUAUUAGCGAUAUUCUCCACAGAUUUUGCUUUUUCUCAAUCUAUAAGGCGAGUAGAUAAAAUGAAGACUUACUUUUCUAGAAAUGCUGGUGGUGCAAACUAUUAGUGCUCGUUUGUGGUUUUCAUCGGUGGAAGAUCUUGGGUGCUAACUGGGGAGACCUCUGUUUCAUAAGUAAGACAAGAUGAGUACCUUCAAGUGUACUUUGCAAGACAAGAUGAGUACCUUCAAGUGUACUUUGCAACCAGUUGUCCGUUUGGAAUGCUAGAAUGUUAUCUAUGGCGGGAAGAGUGAGUCUUGCAAAGUUGAUAGUUAUGAUGAUCCUAAAUUACUUUAUGAGUAUGACUCACAUUCUAGUGAUGGUCAUUGGUGUGUGACGAGUUAGAGAAACUUGUUCGAAUUUUUAUAUGCGGGUCGAUUGUUGAGAGUCGAAAGCCUUCUCUAGUGAAUUGAAAAAAAUAUUAUAUGCCUUUAUAUAAUGCUGGGGCUUAGUAUGAAAAGUUUGCGCAUCUCUAGCGAAGUUUCUUUGAAGAAGAUUGGGUUCAACUUUGUUCGUUAAUUCAGAUGCUUUUUGGGUGCAAGUUCCUCGAAGCAAAUAUAAUAUUUAAGGAGUUUUGGCGCAAUCUAUCUUUCGUAGCUCUUGCUCUCAUACUUGGAGAUGCUUAUCAAACAUAUGGAGUGAGAUCCUUGAGGGAGUGUGUUGGUCUAUUGGUAAUGGAAGAAUGAUUAGUUUCUGGGAUGAUUGCUGGGUGAAAGAAGACCGUUUAGUAUUGAUAAUGGAACUAUUCAGGAAGAUUGAAUGUGGGGGGAUUGAAGGGUCCUAGUGGCGAUUUGGAUUGGAUGGCAUUGGAGAAAAUGGUGUCACCGCAUAUUGUUUCGUUUAUUGCUGGGAUGUCUCCUCCAUCUGAUCUCGCAGGAGAUGAUAUGUUAACAUGGAACUGGAGUAACAAUGGGUUGUUCUCCAUUGUUGAUACUUAUACAGCUGUUGCUGGGGCUGGAUGGGACGUAGUGAAUGAUGAUUAGAAGUUGGUUUGGAAAUGUAAGGCACCCCAACGUGUACGACAAAUUUUCUAGCUUCUUUUCAAGGGGCGUCUGCUAACGAAUGAGGAGAGAGUUAAGCGAUAUAUGGCAAUUGAUAGUAGCUGAGAUAUGGAGAGUGUGUCGAGACAGCCGUCUAUGUUUUGAGAGACUAUUCUUUUGCUCAAAAUACUUGGAGAAGAAUUAUCCCUAACACUACUAGUAACUAUUUAUUUGAUUUGAAUACUAGGAUGUGGCCUGUAUGCAAUUUAAAGAACACUGGACAAUUUAGCAUUGAUGGAACCAACUGGUGCACAUUGUUUCUUACUAUCUGGUGGUUCCUUUGGAAGGUUCGUGAUGCUUUUUGUCUUUCAAGAUGCGAGUAUUAGCUAUAGAGAUGUGAUCAUGUUGAGUAUGUCUUGGGCUAGAUGCUUCAGACAUUUGAGUACUAUUAAUAGUCGGGGUGCAAUGGGUUCGGGUGUAGUUAACCAAUGGAGGAGCCCGAAAGAAGGAUGGAUUUAAUGGGGCCACGGAUUUGGACUCUGGUAUCUCAACCAUUGGAGGAGUGCUGAGGGAUGCGAACUCCAACUGGAUAAUGGGGUAGGCCAAGAGACUUGGUGAGUCAGUGUUUCACACGGAAGCAAGGGCUCUUUUAGAAUGGCUUCGUUUGGCUUGGGAGAAGGGUUUUAGAGGAUUGAAGUUUAAAGCGAUAACGCAUUGUUGAGCGAAGCUGCUUGCAACGAGCAUGCGACUAGCAAUGGAGUGGCAGAGAUAAGGCAUAUUCAGGAGUUAAAAUCACGUCCAUGACAGUUGGUUUUUUAUCAUGCAAGUGACAACAGAAUCGGGUUGCUGACUCUAUGGCGAAAGUUGGGAGAUCAUUGGGAAUGAAUUUGGUUUUGUUAGAUAGGCCACCACUACUGGCUGCUAGUGUGGUUCAGCUGGAGAAAGAACAAGAUAAUGAAGGUUUUGCCGCGAGGGUUGCAGCUCAUAUAGUCUAGGUUCUGUGAGCCUCUUUCUUUUUGACCAAAAAAGAAGUCAUUAGUCACAUUGACUUUAUAUAAAAAAAGAAAGAAAUUCAAUGGACGGAAUGCAUUGUUGAUAAUCCAACUAAGUGUGUUUUUAUAUGUAUGUAGUUGAGAAAAAAAUAUUAUUCUUAGAAGAUUUUUUGAGAACAACUUAUCUUUAUCAUUUCCGAUUUUGGGAUCAAACAAAUAUUUUAUAUACAACAGUUGUAACAAUAGCUGUUGGGGCAAGGUGUUCAUACUACUAGUAGUUUCCAUGCAUGCUUGACGUUGCAAAGCUGACAGCCAAAUACAGGGUUGCGGUUCCUUAACUAUGGUUUCGGCAGAAUGUCCUAUGGCAGUCGGUGGAUUGGUGGUUAUGAAUUAUCGUUUGUCUAAUGGGGCCAUGCCGGGUUUCCUUUAUCAGUAUUAUUAAAAUUGGAUUGGAUCUACUCAUUAAAUCGAAAAUCGAUUUAAAAUAUACCAUCCCGUUAAGAGCUUGUUAAAGAAAAAAGCAAAUUAUGUGAUGACAUGAAAUGCACUUGGUUACAACCAUCGCCCUCAGGUGUUGCCAACAAAUUGACUAUAAAUCAUUUCAAAAUAAACUAGAGCCUAUUUGAUUGGAUUGCAAGAAACAUUAGCCCUACAAAAUGAAGUAAAGAAUGGGGAACUUUUGAUGAAGCCCCGCCCCCACGGGCAGGGGAAGAAAUCAUUAGAAGAAAAUUUAGUCAUCAGCUGCGUGCAAAGCGGCAGCACACGCAUGGUGCUAACCAAAUCUAUAUAUAAAAUGAUAGUAGGUGAGUAGAGAGGUGGGUUCCAUCUGGUAAAAGGGAGGUGAUAUUUACAAAUAGAUUUUGCUUUUGGGGUUUCAAAGGUUUAGAUAGCAGCAGCAUGUUUGAUUGGUCUUUCGUAACAAAUAAACUUUGUUUCCCUUCAUUUUGCCCCUCACCUUUUUUCUUGGGGGUCUGUCUCUUCACUUUUCAAUAACUUUUCAUUGGAAUGUGUGUGGGUCUUUGUUUUAACUUUCUCACCUUAAUCUACUUCUUACAAAGAUCAAUUAUAUUGUUAUGAUGAUGAAAGUAUAAACUAUGCAAUUCUUAGAAUAUAUUUUUCUUCAAGCUCUCCUUUGCAAAAUCUAUACACCUGGGCUGGUCCUGGGUAAUUCCAUUUAAGUUUUAUCACUUUCCAAUUUUAGUUAAAUCAUUUUAGGGUUCUAUCGCAUAAUCGAAUUGUAGUGUUUCUUUUCUUCUUCUUUUUUUUUUUAAAAUUUUAUGAACUCCUAACGAUUAUAUUUUUUUUGUCAUUUUACUUUUUUUAGUACAUGUGUACUUCAUGUUAAUUUUUUUUAAUUUUUAUGAAUUUUUUAAAUUUUAAAUUUGAUUUAUGAUAUUUGAAUUAUUUGUUGAUGUAUAUAAAAUAAAUGAUAUUAUGUUAGCAUGAAUUGCACAUGAACUGUCAUGUAAGUUGUCAAGCCAACAACAUUAAAAAUUAAUAUUUUAAUAAUUAUUUUUGUUAAAAAAAUGAUUUGAUUCUAUUUUGAAAUAUUAAGGGCUAAAUUUAACUAAAAGAAAGUCAAGUUGAAAGAAAAUAUAAACAUUAUCAGGUGAUACCAGUAAUAGGUAUUGGUAUUUAUCCGGAUUUCGUCCUCUCUUUAUCAAGUGAGAAGGUCGAAACUAUUCUAUAUAAUUAUUUUUAUAGAUAGUUUUCAUGAAUAAAAAAAAUCAAAAAGAAAUCCUAUGGUUUUUUACAAUGAAAAAGAAAAAAAGAAAAGUUUUUUUUCUUCUUUAAGUUUAAGUUUAGUAAAAAAGAUAAAAACAUUAAGUUGAAUUUUAAUCAGACAUCUUUGGCUUUUGUUAGAACCUUUUGAAUCAAGUAGUGGAGCGAUUCAAAAGGUUCUUGAUAGCUUACAAUAAGUUUUCUUAUACUUAUACAUAAUAUAUAUGCCAUCCUGUGUUAGUAUUUGUUAGGCGUAGCCUUUUUAUUCAAUUCAAUUAGAUGUUAAUUUAAUGUAAAUGAACCAUAACUAUGUAAAGCUAUUCAUUAUAGAUUGACCUCAAAAUAGCAUAUUCGAAUUAUAAGUAAUCCCAUAGAAGCCACAAGUACAGAAUUUACACCUUCCAAAUUUGUAUUUGUUUGGGUAUGGAAAUAAAUCGCGAAUACGGUCCAAGUAAUAAAUGCCCAAGUUUCCUUUGGGUCCCAAUUCCAAUAUAAUCCCCACACCUCAUUAGCCCAUACGGUUUCUGAGCAUUUUUUAUAUGUUUUAUAUUUAUUAUAAUCAAAAGAUAAUAAAAUCUUUUUUGGUUAAUUCGGUUAACCGAUCGAUUUAACUGAAAUAUUUCGGUUCAGUUAAUGUAUUUGAAAAAACUUUGGUUCGGUUAACGGUUAAAGAAUUUUACAUUUCGGGUAAUUCAGUUUGAGUAUUAAUUAAACCGACCGUUUGAACACCCCUAACUGGCAGACAAAGUUGAUACCAACCGAGUUUUAUACUUAUAUAUAUCCAAUAGAUCCAAACAAGAUAUACAAAUUUCUAAUAGAUCAGAUAAAAUCGCAAAGCAAAGAAUCCCAAGAUUCAAUUAUUCAUUAACUACCUGUAUAUCUUAAGAUUAAGAAUUAAAUAUUUUUUUAGUCUUUUUUUUUUUCGCGAGGAGCUGGAUGAGAAGAAACUCUCAUGUCCAGUUCUGUAGUAGAGAUGGAAUUCAUAAACAACAACCAUCAACUAUAACCCCAAAAGAACCCGAUUUCGUAAACAACAUAGAGGAAGAAUGAAGGGGAUAUCGUAUCGAGGUAAUCGGAUUUGUUUUGGUAGAUAUGCUCUUCAAGCACUUGAACCCGCUUGGAUUACAUCUAGACAAAUAGAAGCGGGGCGCCGCGCAAUGACACGAAAUGUACGCCGUGGUGGAAAAAUAUGGGUACGUAUAUUUCCAGACAAACCCGUUACGGUAAGACCUACAGAAACACGUAUGGGUUCGGGAAAAGGAUCUCCCGAGUAUUGGGUAGCUGUCGUUAAACCGGGCAGAAUACUUUAUGAAAUGAGCGGAGUAGCCGAAAAUAUAGCCAGAAAGGCUAUUUCAAUAGCGGCGUAAAAAAUGCCUAUAAAAACUCAAUUUAUUAUUUCAGGGUAGGAAUAUAGAACCAAAGGAAAGAAGUCUUCUCUUGGGAAUAAAAAAACAAUUGCGAGUUUCCUUUUUUUUGACAAACAAUAUUUCUUUUUUUCUUCGUCUUUUGUUACAUUGAAAAAAGAGAUUAAAAAAAUGAUUCAACCUCAGACCCAUUUGAAUGUAGCAGAUAACAGCGGGGCCCGAGAAUUGAU
rnacentral:lncRNA from 1 species